UUUUUUUCUGGGUUGAUCAUAUUCUUUUCCUUCGAUCAAGUGUUCUCCCUGCUCGUUCGUCUCUCGCCAGUUUAUCCUUCCGGAGCACUCAAGACGUCUCAGGAGAUUCAUAUGUGUUCCAAUUAAUUUGAGGUUGUCACCUCAUUCAAAUAUUUCAAUUGUUUCGGUGCAUCAUCUAUCUGUUCAACAUCCCUUUCCAACGGUGUUUUUCUCUUCAGUGGGCCUAACCCGCAGGUCUUUUGCCAGGAUCUUACCUGACUCUUCUAAUUUCCUAGAGCUAUUCUCAAAUCCGUUUCGAAGUUUGACGUAAGUAUGAAUUUCAUCAGUCAGAUGCUUUUCCAAGAUCAAUUUCAAACUCUUUUCAUUGUUGGUUCAACCCUUCCUCUUCGCUUUUUCAUUCUCCCGGAGUAUCUCAGUAAUUUUGGUGUUCUUUCCCGUCGUUAGUUGAAGACCGAAGAAGAGUUUUUCCUCUCAAUCUUGCCCGUUCUCUCGAAGUUUCGUGGUUCUAGCUUCAUGUUAUCCUCCAAAUUACCCCAUUUGUCAUAAAUUCUUUUCAUCCAUCCGGAGUAUGUCAGAAGUUGUUUUCCCGUUUCUUUUCACCGGAGGCCAUCAUUUCAGCUACCGUUAUCCAGUUAUCCCGGUGCUUCGUUCAAGUGUUCUUUAAUCAGCUCAUUAUCUAUUUAUUCUUUUGCAUCUAAAUCCCCUCUAGCAUAUUGGUUCUUCUAAUUUCUUCCCGAUGAUUUAUUCUCUUUCAUCAGUCAUUUUCGAAUUCUUACGGUGGUUCGUUAAAGAUUCCUUUUCCAUUCUUAUCAUAUUAAUUCAUUCGUUCUUUUGAAUCCUACCGGUGGUUCAUGAAGACUUUCUCAAGUUUGUGCUAUAACCCCUUAAUCCUUUUCAAGAAGAAUAAGUAGUAUGCAAAAUCCAUUGCUUGUCAUCAAAUUAAUUUGAUGAAGGAUAAGCAUACAAUAAAUCUUAUUCUUAUUUCAUCCAAGUGAGUAAUUCCUUCCUUUGGAGUUUGUUCUUGAUGAAUAAAUUCUAGUUCCAAGUGUUUUCAUCUUCUCUUUUCCGGAGUUAAAAUUUCCUCGGCUAUCUCGUCGAAACCUACAUCUUAAGCAUUGCAAGCUUUAAUCUUAUUCUUUCAUCCUUCAAUCUAUCUCAUCAUCCUUUUUGUCACCAGAGUUCUUCGUGGUGGUUCUUCAUGAUUUAAUUCAUUCUUUCAAGUGUUCAUCAAGAUUCUUGUUGGAGGUGUUCAAUUAUUAUUCUUCUUGCAUCUUGAAGUGCAAUUAAUUCUCUGUAUUCUUUUGAAGUGGAGUUUUGCAUUUCUUCAUUCUUCUCAGCUAUCCAUUCAUUUCGGUUUGUGGUCAGUUAUCACCUCAUAAUUUUGAGAUGUUUUUCAUAAGUCCACAACAAGCUUAUUCUUUCAUUGUUGAUUUUCUCAACAACUCCGUUCAACCUUUCCUUCUAAGUUCUUUUCAUUCAACUCUUUCAAUUCUUUCCGGAGGUUUUGUGUCAUGUCUUCAUCAAGUGUCAUCCCAUCUUGGGAAGCUCAGGUCUCUUUUCCUUCCAUUUUCAGCAGGAUUGCUGCCUAAAUUAUUUCAUUCUUAUUCCUUUUACUAUCUUGUUCUAACCGGAGUGGUUUCAUAGUCUAUUUGAUUCUGUGAGCUUUUGAUUCUUGUCAUUCUCGUCGUUCCUCUCUUCUUCUCGUGUGCUCGCGAUUCUUUGCUUCUUCUCUUGAGUUCUUGUUUCACUUCAUCCCAUUUCCCUUCCGUCUCGGUCCUAAGAUCUCGGGAUGAGAUCUCUUGUUAGUGGAGGAGUGUUGUAACGCCCCGGAUUGGAUGCGCUAGGUGUCUGCCAGUUAUUUGCCGUCAUUGCCAUGUCAUUUGCUUGCAUGUUGCAUUUUAUCAUGUCAUCAUGUGCAUUGCAUUGCAUACGUGUUCGUCUCAUGCAUCCGAGCAUUUUCCCCGUUGUCCAUUUUGCAAUCCGGCACUCCUAUGUCCUCCGGCGUCCCCCUUUUGUCUCUCAUUGUCAGCGGGUGUUAAACGUUCUCGGAAUGGACCGAGGUUUGCCAAGAGGCCUUGGUAUACCACCGGUAGACCGCCUGUCAAGUUUUGUGCCAUUUGGAGGUUGUUUGAUAUUCCAACGGUUAACCGCGUAGCCCGAACCCCCCCCCCCCUUUCUCUUUGCAGCCCAACACCCUUCCAAACUGGCCCAAAACCCAUCCUAACUCCCAUCCAUGCUCUUGGUCGUUCUAUCACGAUCGUGUGGGCGAAAACCGCUCCUCAUUUGAACUCUCCUAGCUCCAAGAAUCUAUAAAUAUGUGCUCCUCGUCCAAUUUCACGGAUGCACCCUAGCCCUCUCCCUUCUCGCACCGCCGGACACGUCCGCCCGACGACCNNNNNNNNNNNNNNNNNNNNNNNNNNNNNNNNNNNNNNNNNNNNNNNNNNNNNNNNNNNNNNNNNNNNNNNNNNNNNNNNNNNNNNNNNNNNNNNNNNNNNNNNNNNNNNNNNNNNNNNNNNNNNNNNNNNNNNNNNNNNNNNNNNNNNNNNNNNNNNNNNNNNNNNNNNNNNNNNNNNNNNNNNNNNNNNNNNNNNNNNNNNNNNNNNNNNNNNNNNNNNNNNNNNNNNNNNNNNNNNNNNNNNNNNNNNNNNNNNNNNNNNNNNNNNNNNNNNNNNNNNNNNNNNNNNNNNNNNNNNNNNNNNNNNNNNNNNNNNNNNNNNNNNNNNNNNNNNNNNNNNNNNNNNNNNNNNNNNNNNNNNNNNNNNNNNNNNNNNNNNNNNNNNNNNNNNNNNNNNNNNNNNNNNNNNNNNNNNNNNNNNNNNNNNNNNNNNNNNNNNNNNNNNNNNNNNNNNNNNNNNNNNNNNNNNNNNNNNNNNNNNNNNNNNNNNNNNNNNNNNNGACCCUGCCACCCGCCGGAGCGCUGCCGCCCGACCCCUCCAUCGCCGGACCCCGCCCUCCAGCACCGUUGCCCGCUCGGCCCCGUGCCCCCCGCCCGAGCCCGAAGCUCCUCCCGCCGACGCGCCUCGCCAGCCGCCGUCGCCCGUCGUCUCGCUGCCUCCACCGGCCGGCGCUGCGCCGCCUCGGCCUCCCUCUGGCCAGAUCCGGCCUCCCCGCCGUCGUGCCUCGCCAUGGCCUCGCCUCCCAUGCCGUCCCAUCUCCCUCCUCAACUCCGGCCGUCUCCGCCGAAAAUUCCGGCCGGAUCCGGCGAGAUCCGGCCCGGAACCUGCAAGGUGGAUGAGAUCCACCGGGAUUUGAGCCAAACGCGUCGUCCCUGCCCCGGAUCCCUCCGUCCCGGGUCGAGCCCAUCCCGCAUUGACUUUUCGCGGAGGUAAAAUUCUGCUAAGUCCCGAAUUAUUUUGCAUUCUGGUGCAUACGUUGACAUGCCAUAACUCUUCGCAUACUGCUCCAUUUUGUGCGUGCUAUAUAUCGAAAUGUUCAUCAUAAGAUGCUCUACAUUUCAUUCCAUUGUGUCAUGCUUGUUUGAGUUGAUCUAGAUGCCUGAAUCUUCAUUGCAAGAGUGCUAUAUAAUGUUGUCUGCUGUCUGUUAACAGAACAUGCUCAUUUGUCAUUUUUGCCAUGUUUGAUGUGUGUAUCCUAUGAGCAUGAGCUCUACAUGUGUUUUGAUCUAUGUCAUGCCAUCUUUACAGUGGGGCAAUCCAUGUAUUUUUUUGAGACUUGUAGUGACUGCAUUGAUCUUGUGAAGUAUGGUACUUGCUGUUACUAUUUUGCUAGGUUGAAUCUGUUAUUUCGUGAUGGUAUGUAACCCUUCUGCUACAAGUCAUUCUAUGCAUAAUCUGGAGAUGUUCACUAAGGUUGUUUUGUUAUACAUGUCAUGCUCUAUCCAUCCAUGCCCCUGGUUGCAUUUAUAGCCUACUGUAGAUUAUUUUUAUCAUGAACCAAAGUUCCUAAAUAAUGUUGCUGUCAGCCUGUUAACGUUAAGUUCAGUUUUGCCAUGUGUUUUGCUAGUGAUCCAUGCACCCUAUGAACUUUCUAUUGCCAUGCUUAGCUUCACACACAUGUAUUAGUACUGUUUGUUAUCUUGCCAUGCCAUGUAUUGCUCUAUGGUGUGUGGUACAAGCUCAUCAACAUGCCUACUUAUUGUUAUUCCUGCCAUGUAUGAAUCUGUCAUAUAACUUGCCAUGUUUACAUGGGUGCAAUCAUAUCUUCUGAUCCUUUUUGGCUCAUGAUCAGUAAGAGACUUUUGUUCUAUGCAUUUAGUAGAUUCAUUCCAUGCCUUUGUUUGCCAUGAUAAGUUUUUGUAGCAUGUUGUUUGAUAGCUCUAAACAUUGCAACCUGAUAUUAUUUCUGCUAAAUCUGAAACUGUUAUUGUUUGCAAUCUUGCCAUGUCUUUUUGAGCAUGUUCUAGUGAUUUAUGGAGAUAGCUCAGUGUUCAUGUUUUUUUAUGCUUUACCUUUACAUCAUGUCCAUGCCUUUUGUUUUUAUGUUGAGGUGCUGUAGCAUGUUGUUUUGAUGCUUGCAAUAUGCCUAGUUGCUGUUUUGGACAGAUUGUUGCUAUAACUUGUUUCAAGUGUGUGUUGAACCGUUGCUCCGUUUUGAGUGUGCUCUAUAUGAAACUUGCUUGAUUUUGCAUGUAGCUUCAUAAUAUCAUUUUGCAUCCUUGUUUUGAGGUGUUUGCUUGAUGUUUGUAUGCAUUUUGCAUCAAUGCCAUGUUUAACUUGUUUUGCUCAUAUCUUCUAGGCCGUAGCUCCAAAUCUAAUGAACUUUAUAUGCAACUUGACUAGAAUCUCGUGUAGAUCAUCUUGGUGCAUCUUAACUUGCUGUUUAACAACUUGAACAUAAGGUUUAUUCAGGUCUGGACCAAUUUCGAAAUUUGCAUAUGAGGACUUAUCGGAAUUGUUAUAUGUUGUUCCCGGCCUCAUUUAAACUUGCCUUGAUGUGUUGCUCUUGUUUGCAUCAUCUCUUGCCAUGAGUAGCUUCAUGUAGUCUUGUCAUGCAUCAUGCUUGUUGUGCAUCAUGUCUUGUCUAUGUGUGGUGUGUUUAUCAUGUUGUGUGCUUCUUCUCGAUAGUUCCCGUUUCGUUGCGAUCGUGAGGAUUCGUUCGUCUAUGCUUGGUUCGUCUUCAUGGCUUCAUCUUCUUCAUGGACUCGUUCUUCUUCCUUGCGGGAUUUCAGGCAAGAUGACCGCUACCCUGGAUCUCACUACUAUCAUUGUUGUGCUAGUUGCUUCGUUCUAUCGCUUUGCUGCGCUACCUAUCUUUUGCUCCUCAAGCCUCCCAAUUGCCAUGUCAGCCUCUAACCUUUACACCCUUCCUAGCAAACCAUUGUGUUACCGCUUUGCUCAGCCCCUCUUAUAGCGUUGUUAGUUGCAGGUGAAGUUGAAGAUUGCCCCAUGGUGGACAGGAUUAUGGUUGGGAUAUCACAAUAUCUCUUGUCUAAUUAAUGCAUCUAUAUACUUGGUAAAGGGUGGAAGACUCGGCCUUAUGCCUAGUGUUUUGUUCCACUCUUGCCGCCCUAGUUUCCUUCAUACCGGUGUUAUGUUCCCGGAUUUUGCGUUCCUUACGCGGUUGGGUGAUUUAUGGGACCCCCUUGACAGUUCGCUUUGAAUAAAACUCCUCCAGCAAGGCCCAACCUUGUUUUUACCAGUUGCCUCACCUAGACCUUUUUCCCUUGGGUUUACGGAGCCCGAGGGUCAUCUUUAUUUUACCCCCCCGGGCCAGUGUUCGUCAUGAGUGUUGGUCCAACCCGUCAGCCGCCGAUGGUCACCAGGGGCAACUCUGGGCUGGCCUACCGGAAGUUUGGACAAUCCGGUGUGCCCUGAGAACGAGAUAUGUGCAGCUCCUAUCGGGAUUUGUCGGCACAUCCGGGCGGUCUUGCUGGUCUUGUUUUACCAUUGUCGAAAUGUCUUGUAAACCGGGAUUCCGAGUCUGAUCGGGUCUUCCUGGGAGAAGGUAUAUCCUUCAUUGAUCGCGAGAGCUUAUCAUGGGCUAAGUUGGGACACCCCUGCAGGGUACAAACUUUCGAAAGGCGUGCCCGCGGUUAUGCGGCAGAUGGGAAUUUGUUAAUGUCUGGUUGUAGAUAACUUGACACCUGAUUCAAAUUAAAACACAUCAACCGCGUGUGUAGCCGUGAUGGUCUCUUUUCAGCGGAGUCCGGGAAGUGAACACGGUUUUGGGUUAUGUUUGAUGUAAGUAGGAGUUCAGGAUCACUUCCUGAUCACAGCUAGCUUCACGACCGUUCCGUUUGCUCUCUUCUCGCUCUUAUUUGCGUAUGUUAGCCACCAUAUUAUGCUUAGUCGCUGCUGCAACCUCACCACUUUACCUCCUUCCUUUCCCAUUAAGCUUUUCUAGUCUUGAUACCCAUGGUAAUGGGAUUGCUGAGUCCUCGUGGCUCACAGAUUACUACAACAACAGUUGCAGGUACAGGUUAUGCGAUGAUCAUGAUGUGAGAGUGAUGUUUGCUUGUUUUGGAGUUCUUCUUCUGCUUCUUCUUUGAUCAGGGGAUAGGUUCCAGGUCGGCAGCCUGGGCUAGCAGGGUCGAUGUCGUUUGAGUUUCUGUUUGUGUUUCAUCCGUAGUCGGAUGAUGCUCUUAUGUAUUGUGAUGUUGUAUUCGUGUGGGAUGGUAUGCCUCUUGUAUGUAUCCCAAUCUAUUAUGUAACGCUGAUGUAAUGAUAUCCACCUUGCAAAAGCGUUUCAAUAUGCGGUUCUAUCCUUGGUGGGACCUUCGAGUCUCUUUAGGAUAGUAUCGCAUAUUGGGCGUGACAGGGGGGUAGGUAUGGAGAGGCAGGAUCUUAGCUAUGGCGAAGAUGUACACACGAUGUUUUCGAGUUUAGGCCCUUCUCAGAAGAAGUAACAACCCUACGUCUCGGUGCCCGGAGGCGGUCAAUUGUAUUAUGUGUGUUGUGUUACAGGGGGUGCGAACCCUUGUCCCAGAGGAGGGGGUGGCUUAUAUAGAGUGCGCCAGGACCCCCGCCCACCUCCAUUACAAAGGGCUUAAUGUACAUAAAGUGGGGGCGUUACAGUUAACGGCAGUCUUAAAUGUUCGUAAUGCUCAUGAAGACUAAGGAGUGAAUGUCCGGUCGUUGUACGUUCUACCGACUCCUGGUAUUUGACAUAGUCGAGUGAUUCUCAUAUGGCCGAGUGAAGGUAAGGAAUGACGGUCGAGUGAUUGCAUCGUCGAGUGGAUUCUUAGACUUCUUAUCUUCUGGGGUAGUGACCUUGCGUAGGACGUGUAGGUCAGGCCUAUGACCCUACCCCAGGUCUGUAUCCUCAUCAGUGACCAACUUGCGGGUUCCGCCCAUGAACCUAUGCAUAGGGGUUGGCACACAUUUUCGUCUUGACUCUGUGGUAGAAACUUUGGGGCGCUCUUUGAAGUACUUUGUGUUGGGUGAAUAGAUGGAUCUGAGAUUGUGUGAUGCAUAUCGUAUAAUCAUGCCCACAGAUACUUGAGGUGACAAUGGAGUAUCUAGGUGACAUUAGGGUUUUGGUUGAUUUGUGUCUUAAGGUGUUAUUCUAGUAUGAACUCUAUGAUAGAUUGAGCGGAAAGAAUAGCUUCAUGUUAUUUUACUACGAACUCUUGAAUAGAUAGAACAGAAAGGAUAACUUUGAGGUGGUUUCGUACCCUACCAUAAUCUCUUCGUUUAUUCUCCGCUAUUAGUGGCUUUGGAGUGACUCUUUGUUGCAUGUUGAGGGAUUGCUAUAUGAUCUAUCUAUGUUAUUAUUGUUGAGAGAACUUGCACUAGUGAAAGUAUGAACCCUAGGCCUUGUUUCCUAUCAUUGCAAUACCGUUUACGCUCACGUUUAUCAUUAGUUACCUUGCUGUUUUUAUUAUUUCAGAUUACAAAUACCUCUAUCUACUAUCCAUAUUGCACUUGUAUCACUAUCUCUUCGCCGAACUAGUGCACCUAUACAAUUUACCAUUGUAUUGGGUGUGUUGGGGACACAAGAGACUCUUUGUUAUUUGGUUGCAGGGUUGUUUGAGAGAGACCAUCUUCAUCCUACGCCUCCCACAGAUUGAUAAACCUUAGGUCAUCCACUUGAGGGAAAUUUUGCUACUGUCCUACAAACCUGUGCACUUGCAGGCCCAACAACGUCUACAAGAAGAAUGUUGUGUAGUAGACAUCAAACACCCCGGUGUAAUGAUGCUAGAGUAAUCCCUGAGAUCAAGCUAAUCAUUUUGCUAUAAUAGUGCUUGGUCACUUUGAUCAAUAUUCCAUUUCAAAUUCCAGUUGAAUUCAAUUUGAAUUUAUGUGUGAAAUUCAAAAUUGCUUAGACAUGAAAACUAAAAUGUUCAUCAUGUGGAACAUAUUCUUCUAGUAAUAUUGGUGGUGAGCCAACAUUUUUGCAAAAUGUCUAAGUGGCCUAAAAUAGCUAAAAUAGAAAAGCUUUAAAAAAAGGAAAAGGAAAAGCAAGGAGAAAAAGAAGAAGGAGAAGUCCCCUGCCCCCUGGGCCUUAGCCAUUGCACUGACCGGCCCACCUUACCCCCCGGGUUGCCUUCCUGUUUGACCGACCCCGUCGCUACAGGGGCGUGGUCGCCCCGGUCCGCCUCGUCGUCGAUGACGAGGGAGGGGAUAAGGCCCCGUGCCUCCCUACCUCCUCAAUCCCCACCCCACUCCCCCUGGCGUCCUCAUCCGUUUCUCACCCUUCCCCCAGUUGCCCCACGCGCCUCGCCUCUCUCUUUCCCCCACCUUGCCCGAGAGCUCGCCGCCGUCCUCCAUCGUUGUCGCGGCCACCGGCAGCCCCGCGCCUGCUGACCCUGUCGUUGAGCUCCGUCGGGGUCAACUCCUUUGACUGGUGGCCUCAGCUGGAGCUCGGAGGCGCUGCAGCACCAGAACCCCUUCGUUCCCAUCUCUGACGGCCACAACAACUCCAGCGCGCGCUACUACUCCUAAGCCGUCAAGGGCUUUCCGUAGCCGCGCGGUGAGCCACCACCUUCCUUGUCCCUCUCUCCGUCUGCCCUUGUGUGGUCCCUAGCGGUCCCUCCCACCAUGGCCGAACGCGACGCCGCGCGAGCUCAUCGCCGGCAUCCUUCCGGUGACCUUUUGGUCACGGGGACGCGCCCGUUGGACUCACCGCUCCGUGCAGAUCCUUCCCAUCCUUUCCUUUUGCUCCGUAGUGCGCCGUAGCAUCUUUUCCGCCACCGACUGUAGCCGCUCCGGUGCAAACCUCAUCGCCGGCGCCGUUUCCGGCCAAGUCCGGCCAUGCCUCUGCCACCAUUCGAUGCGGCGUCGUUCGCCCGUUCGAACGCACCCUUGCGCGUGUGAAACGGCUGCCAGUAGACGUUUUCCGAUGAGGCCCGAGCGGCUCUGCCGCGUCCUAGCGUCGCCGAUGGCGAGACGCGUGCCUUCGCCGACGUGGCUGGCCGGGCCCCACCCCUGGCUCACUGCCAGUGGGCCCCAUGGGCCCUAGUUGACUGGAUUGACACAAUCAACUGCUGACUGGGCAGCCCAGUGCCACUGACAUGCAGGCACCACCACUUAUUUAAGCUAAUUAAAAUGUUUUUAUAGUUAAAAGUAAUUAGUAAUCUAAUCUGCCACUGACAUGUGGGGCCCAACUAUUAAUUAACCUCAUUUUAGUUAGUUUAAAGUUCUGUUAGUCCACUCCCUAUGACAGGUGGGACCCACUUGUCAGUUUGACCAGUCAACCAGUCUGUUGACCUGUUGAUGUCAUGUUGACACUCUGCUGACAUCAUAAUUCCUUUUCUGUUAAUUUAAUUAAUUCCAGAAAAUACUUUAAUCUUUAAAAAUUCAUAGAAAAUAAACCGUAGCUCGGAUGGAAAAACUUUAUACAUGAAAGUUGCUCAGAACGACGAGACGAACCCGAAUACGCUAACCACAUACCUGUCAGAUGCUUCUAACUAUCUGAACAUGGAACAUUCCCCUACGAUCAUCUAUCUGACACAGGUCCGGAACCGGGAAUACAUUCCCGGUUGAAUUCCCCCUUCACCUAUAUCAUGUAGCCAUACGUUAGUUCACACCCGACACAUCAUAAUGCCACGUUAUGCUUUGUGAUGCUAUGUUUGCUUUAUAUUUACUGUUUCUUUCCCCUCUUCUCUCCGGUAGACCCCGAGACUGAUGCUGCCCCUGUGAUCGACCACGUCGACGACAACCCCUCCUUGUCAGAUCAACCAGGCAAGCCCCCCCUUUGAUCAUCCCGAUAUCACCCAUUCCAUUCUCUCAUGCUUGCAUUAGAUUUUGAUACUAUUAUUGAUUGCUCCUAUUCUGAUGCAUAGCCUGAUUUUGUAUCUGUUGUUGUACCUUACCUGCUUAUCCUAAACUGCUUAGUAUAGGUUGGUUAGUGAUCCAUCAGUGACCCCCACCUUGUCCUUGUUGCCCCUGCUUCAUCAUCGAAGACCAGAUCAACGGGAUCGAAGACCAGGCCCCGGCACCGCACAUCAAUUUCCCCUUAGUUGCUCGACACUACUGGGUUACUAUCGAGUACCGAGGGUGAGGCCUCAUCAGCACUUCUGAUGUUAACCCUGUAGUGUAGCUAUUCGGUCAUGGUCAUCGAGGGUGAUUUCCUCUUUAACCACUUCCGAUACGACUUUGUCGUGCAACCCCUCAAGCGUGAACCUCGAGGGUGGUCCCUCUUACGUUGACCUUGAUGAUUACACCGAGUGGAAUUCAUCGGGGGUGAUUCCUCGGUUUUUCCCCUUGAUGUUUAGACACAUAGUUACUAUGAUUACUAUGACUUUACACUGAACCAUGUUACUAAAGACGGGUCGACCCUGAGGGGUACCCGCGUGACCAUAAUUGCAAGUGAUGUGGAGUCGGGUUGCCCUGGACGGUGCCCGCGAGAUAAUUAUGAGGCGUGGCCAGGCAUUCUUAGCCCUUGCCACAAGUCCUCGAGACGGGGCAAUGGGGUCACAUCUUUCGUGAGUCUCUGCUUGUUACCGCGCGUUCCUAAUCCACUACGAUUUGGAUAUUUGAUCCGAGGGGCCUCUGGCCUGAUAGCACUAACCAUCACGUGGGCAUAGUAUGGGCGUUCUGCGUCGUAUGCAUCAGCCCAAGCUUAAUGGAAAUCAGCGACUGAGCGGCGCGUGCCGGGUUGGACUGCAUAAGAACCUGCCUUUUUAAGGAGGUAGCUAGGUCUGCUUACCUCCCACCCACGCAACGUGCAGGAGUUCCUGGGGCGAUGGCCCAUGACCCCUGGGGGCAUAGGUUUAGUAUGGCGUGCUGACCUAUCUAUUAAGCCCAGGUAGGGUUGCAGCGUAUUGUUUGGCCGAGGCCGGGCUUGACCCAGGACAGUGUGUUCGACCAAAGUUAAUCGAGCAUGGUGGGUAAGUUGGUGCACCCCUGCAGGGAACAAAACAUCUAUCGAUAGCCUGUCCUACGGUAACAGACGCUUGGAGUUGUAUACCGAUCGAUACAACUAGAACUAGAUACUUGUGAUGAGAAUUGGAUUGUGAUGAGAAAUUAAUAGUAUGGAUCUGGGAUUGCUUUCUCGCAGGGAGUCGAGAAAGGAUCUCUGGCCGAGGUUGAUAACACUACUACUACUUUACUUUAUGCUACUCUACUCCCUCCCGUUUGCUGCAAGAUGGUGGUUUCCAUAAGAUGCUAGUCUUCGAUAGGACUAGGCCUUCUCUCUAUUCUGGCAUUUCUGCAGCCCAGUCCACAUAUACAUCCUUCCUUUGAUAAUGUUGCAUAUGCAGUGUAGAUCCUUGCUUGCGAGUACUUUGGAUGAGUACUCACGGUUGCUUUGCUCCCCCUUUUCCCCCUUCUUUUUCUUUCCGGUUGAUGCAACCAGAUGUCGGAGCCCAGGACCCAGAUGCCACUGCCGGUGCCUACUACUACGCGGAGACCGCUAACGACCGUGAGCAGUUAGGAGGCUCCCAGGCAGGAGGCCUUGCCUUUUCGAUCGUAGAUGCUUUUGUGCUAGCUUCUUAAGGCAAAGUUGUCUAACUUAUGUCUGUACUCAGAUAUUGUUGCUUCCGCUGACUCUUGUGUAUUCGAGCUUAUGUAUUCGAGCCCUCUGGCUUGUAAUAUAAAGCUUGUAGUAUUUUAAUUUGUGUCUAGAGUUGUGUUGUGAUAUCUUCCUGUGAGUCCUUGAUUUUGAUCGUACACAUUUGCGUGUAUGAUUAGUGUACGAUUGAAUCGAGGGCGUCACAAGUUGGUAUCAGAGCCGACUGCCUAUAGGUAGCCCCCUUUCCAACUCCUUGGCCUAAGUUGAGUCUAGUCACUGAAAAACUUUUACUAACAUUGCCUAUGUGUCUUACGGGCCCACGUCGCCAUUGGGUGGUAUUAGGAUCUUUUACUCCUCGUCUAUACUCUGGGACUCUGAUCACUCUUCUAUUCGGGUUAAACGAAAUUACUAACUCUUACAUUAGGAUCCCAUGACCACAUUCACCCCAAAGUUGGAUAAGCCAUAGUUAUUCCUUAGAAUAGUAUUCUGAAUAGUACACACAUUGUCGUGUUGACUAUGAAGUGGUAUCCAUCGCACCUCUUUCUUUAUGCAUGCUUCAUCAUAAAUGAUCCUUGUCUUUGCAAAUGCUCAAUGCUGAACUACCCCCUGUUACAUGUUUGCAGGAUGGUUAGACCUGUUGGUCGUGGCCGUGGUGCCAACGAUCCACCACCGCCCAAAUUCUUUGCCGGAAUGAUGCAACAAUUUGAGCUGAACCGCCAGUUCAUGGAAGGAAUGAUGGCUCAGUUUCCUCGUCUGAAUAUGAAUCAGCAGCCAGCCCCAGUAACUCUGCAGGACUUCAUGCGCCUCAACUCAACUAUUUACCGUAGCUCAACUCAGCCCCUUGAUGCUGAUGACUGGCUCCGCGACAUCACGUAUGAAAUGGAGUCUGCUAGUGUGGCCCCUGCUAGCUAUGUCACCUUUGCAUCAUUCUUUCUGAAGGGUCCCGCUGCUCAAUGGUGGGACAGCCACAAGCGUACCCUACCUGCUGAAACGGUCGUCACUUGGCCAAAUUUCUAAGCUGCCUUCCGUGCUCGUUUUAUUCCUCAGGGAAUCAUGGACAAGAAGAAGCGCGAGUUCCGCAACCUCACCCAAGGCAAUAAGGCUGUAGAUGCUUACCAGUGGGAAUUUUAGGACUUGUCAUGUUAUGCUAAAGAAGACAUUGUAACUGAUGCUCGCAGUCAGGAAAAGUUUCGAGAUGGAAUUCACCCUGAUAUCAAGCUAGCACUGCUCGUCCAUGACUUUGCCGACUUCGCCACCUUGGUGAACAAGGCUAUUCAGGUUGAGACUGGUCUGUAGGAAGACCAGGGAUCCCUCAGGCGCAGCCGUGACGCUGGCUCAUCUUCGGGCCCGUCAGCGCAGAAGCGUCGGAUAUGGAUCCCCCAUAGCAUGUACCGCCCAACUGCACCUGCACCAAGACAUUCCUAUGUUGCACCUCGUCUGCCUCCUCCAUCGCAGAGGCAGCCUCUUCGAGCUGUACCACCCCAAGCUCCUGCUCCCAACCCCAAUGAUGGUCUAUGCUACAAGUGUGGCCUUCUAGGUCACCGCUCCAGGAACUGUCCUCAGAAUCAGAACCAACUAGGUCUUCCUGCUACGGGUCGUGGUAACAAUCAACCUCGCAACAACAAUGCCCGACCUUAUGGUCGUGGGCAGGCUAACAACAUUGAUCUGAAUGAAGCUCAAGACCAGCCUGCUAUUGUGAUGGGUACUCUCCUUGUUAAUUUGGUACCAGCUUCAGUUUUAUUCAAUCAGGGGCAUCACAUUCAUUCAUGUCAGAAAAUUUUGCAUACGCACAUGACAUUCGAUGUGAGCCCAUGAACACUCUGAUAGUGGUACGCACCCCUGCGGGUCAGUGUCGAACUACCAUGAUUGGUCGCGACGUCCCCGUUGAAAUUGAAGGGUUGGAAUUUCAUGUUUCUCCCAUUAUUCUGGAGUCUUCCAAUAUUGACCUCAUUCUGGGAAUGGAAUGGUUGAAAGCACAUACUGCCUCUAUCGUUUGUGCCACUAAAGUCGUUCAUCUCGUAGAUCCUUCCGAUGAGAUAAUAAGCUACCAUGCUCAGAUUGUUCAAAACGCUGAAGCACAACUUUAUGCUUUGAAUGCGUUGAACGCGGAACCUCUUGAGGGAAUUGAAAAGAUUCCAGUCGUUCGCGACUUCCAAGACGUAUUUGCAGAAGAACUUCCAGGAAUACCCCCUGCCCGGGCUGUCGAGUUCGUCAUCGAUUUGAAACCAGGCAUUGUUCCUAUUGCCAAAUGACCCUACAAGAUGCCACCUCAUGAACUCCUUGAACUUAAGGAGGAAAUCGACAAAUCUCUUCGCAAGGGUUUCAUUUGUCCAAGUUCCUCUGCUUGGGGAGCACCUUCUCUCUUCGUCAAGAAGGACAAAACGAACCAUUUGGUCCAAGACUAUCGUCCUAUCAACCAAGCUACAAUUCAGAACAAAUAUCCCCUUCCUCGGAGCAAUGAUCUGUAUGAUCAACUAGCUGGUUCAUCGAUAUUCUCUAAACUCGACUUGAGGUUGGGUUACCACCAGAUCCGUGUUCGUGAAGAGGAUAUUCCAAAGACCGCCUUUGUCACUCGUUAUGGUUCUUACGAGUACACCAUCAUGUCUUUCGGCUUGACCAAUGCUCCAGCCACAUUUUCUCGUAUGAUGAACUACAUAUUCAUGGAUUACCUCGACAAGUUUGUCGUAGUCUAUCUGGAUGAUAUCCUGGUAUGUUCGAAGAAUAAAGAAGAACAUGCUGAACAUCUUCGUCUUGUUCUAGAAAAGCUUCAAGAGCAUCAACUUUAUGCCAAGUAUUCCAAGUGCGAAUUAUGGUUACCCGAAGUCACCUACCUUGGUCAUGUCAUCUCCAAGGAUGGUAUUGCCAUCAACCUAGAGCGCGUUCAGGCUAUUCUUGACUGGACCCCUCCGAAGACUGUCAAGCAAGUCAGAAGCUUUCUCGGACUAGCCAGCUAUUGUCGUCGCUUUGUCGAGAACUUCUCCAAGAUAGCCAAGCCCCUAACUAAUCUGCUUCACAAGGGCGUUAAGUUUGAUUGGACUGAAAAGUGUCAGGAAAGUUUCCAGGCACUCAAGGACAAGCUGACUUCUGCCCCAGUGCUUGCUCCCCCUGAUUCUCGCAAGGACUUCAUCAUCUAUUGCGACGCUUCACGACAAGGAUUAGGCUGUGUCCUAAUGCAAGAGCGCAGAGUGAUUGCUUAUGCCUCCCAUCAAGUGCGUCCUCACGAAGAGAACUACCCAGUUCAUGACCUCGAGCCUGCUGCGGUUAUGUUUGCAGCUAUGGCGACAAUACCUUCUUGGUAAUCGUUGCGAGAUCUUCACCGAUCAUCAGAGUCUGAAGUACCUGUUUACUCAGCCAGAUCUGAACCUCCGUCAGCAGCGAUGGAUGGAAGCUAUUGCUGACUACAUUUGCGGUAUAUCCUAUACCCCUAGCAAGGCUAAUGUAAUGGCCGAUGCCCUGAGCCGUAAGUCUUAUUGCAACAAUCACAUGCUCUACAAAGCUCAACCCCACCUUUAUGAAGAGCUAUGGAAGCUGAACCUUCAACUAGUUCCACAGGGUUCUCUGAAUAACCUUGUCCUGGAACCAACUCUUCUCAAAGAAAUUAAGUCUGCUCAAGCCAAAGAUGCUCAUGUUAAUCUGAUGAAAAAGGAUCUUGACUUAGAGAAAUCCAGAGAUUUCUCACUUGGUGAAGAUGGAACCUUGUACUUCAGAGAUCACAUUAUAGUACCCCGGUUAGAGCUUAUGAUAGAGAAGGUAAUGAAAGAAGCGCAUCACACCCCUGUCUCUAUUCAUCUGGGAAGUACCAAGAUGUAUCUAGACAUCUGUCAGAAGUACUGGUGGUCUAAGAUGAAGCAAGACAUUGCUCGAUAUAUUGAAGAAUGUGAAGUUUGUCGUCGCGUCAAAGCAGAAUAUCAGAAACCGGAUGGACUUCUACAACCGCUUCUGAUUCCUGAAUUGAAGUGGGAUAAGAUUCAAAUGGACUUUGUCACUGGCCUUCCCAAGUCUAAAAAAGGUAAUGAUGCUAUCUUUGUCGUCAUCGACCAAUUCUCAAAGGUUGCUCACUUUCUGCCAGUCAAGGAGACAAUCACUGCUAGUCAAUUAGCAAACUUGUAUAUCUCUCGAAUUGUGUCACUCCACAGCAUUCUGAAGGAGAUCAGUUUAGACCGCGGCAGUAUAUUCACUUCGAAGUUCUAGGAUAGUUUCCAAGAGGCAAUGGGAACUCAUAUUACCUAGAGCACUGCUUAUCAUCCCCAAUCCCAAGGCCAAGUCGAGCGAGUCAAUCAAAUUCUUGAAGACAUGCUUCGGGCUUAUGUUAUUUCUAUCGGUAAGAAGCGGGAAGAAUCUCUCCCUUAUGCGGAGUUCUCUUAUAACAAUAGCUAUCAAGCCAGCUUGAAGAGGGCACCCUUCGAAGUGCUUUAUGGACGUAAGUGCCGAACCCCUCUGAAUUGGUCAGAAACUUGGGAACGGACGCUCAUUGGUCCAGACAUUAUUCAACAAGCUGAAGAUCAGGUUCGCAUUGUCCGGGAUAAUAUCAAGGCGGCCUAGUCCCGCCAGAAGAGCAACUAUGACCGGAAACACUGGGGUUCAACUUAUCAACCUGGUGAACAAGAUUAUCUGUGUGUCACUCAUUUGAGAGGCACUCAUCGAUUUGGAGUCAAGGGCAAGCUAGCUCCUCGCUACAUUUGUCCCUUCUGUAUUCUCGCCCGUCGUGGAUUGGUGGCUUAUCAACUGGAGUUGCCACCUCAGUUCUCUCACGUCCAUGACGUCUUCCACGUGUCACAACUUCGUCGAUGUUUCAAGGAUCCGGAACGUGAAGUGGAUCCGGAAUUGAUUGAAGUUUAAGAUGAUCUCACAUACAAAGAGCAUCCGAUCCACAUUCUCAAAGAAGCUGAACGUCGAACCCGCCAGAAGGUUACCAAGUUCCUCAAGGUGCAAUGGUCGAAUCAUACUAAAGAUGAAGCCACUUGGGAACGCGAAGAUAACCUCCAGGCUGAAUACCGCGAUCUUUUCCCUUCUACCUCUUAAUUCUCGGGACGAGAAUUUAUUUUAGAGGAGGAGAGUUGUAACACUCCGGUGUAAUGAUGCUACAGUAAUCCCUGAGAUCAAGCUAAUCAUUUUGCUAUAACAAUGCUUGGUCACUUUGACCAAUAUUCCAUUUCAAAUUCGAGUUGAAUUCAAUUUGAAUUUAUGUGUGAAAUUCAAAAAUGCUCAGACAUGAAAACUAAAAUGUUCAUCAUGUGGAACAUGGUCUUCUGGUAAUAUUGGUGGUGAACCAACAUUUUUGCAAAAUGUCUAAGUGGCCUAAAAUAGCUAAAACAGAAAAGCUUUAAAAAAGGAUAAGCAAGGAGAAAAAGAAGAAGGAGAAGCCCCCUGCCCCCUGGGCCUUAGCCCAUUGCACUGACCGGCCCACCUUACCCCCCGGGUUGCCUUCCUGUUUGACCGACCCUGUCACUACAGGGGCGCGGUCGCCCCGGACCGCCUCACCGUCGACGACGAGGGAGGGGAUAAGGCCCCGUGCCUCCCCGCAUCCUCGAUCCCCGCAUCCACUCACCCCCACUCCCCCUGGCGUCCUCAUCAGUUUCUCCCCUUGUCCCCACUUGCCCCACACGCCUCGCCUCUCUCAUUCCCCCACCUUGUCCGAGAGCUCGCCGCCGCCCUUCAUCGUUGUCGCGGCCACCGGCGGCCCCGCGCCCACUGACCCUGUCAGUGAGCUCCGCCGGGGUCGACUCCUUCGACUGGUGGCCUCAACUGGAGCUCGGAGGCGCUGCAACACCGGAACCCUUUCGUCCCCAUCUUUGAUGGCUGCAGCAACUCUGGCGCGCGCUACUGCUCCUAAGCCGUCAAGGGCUUUCCGUAGCCACGCGUUGAGCCAUCACCUUCCUUGUCCCUCUCUCCGUCUGCCCUUGCACGGUCCCUAGCCGUAUCUCCCACCAUGGCCGAAUGUGAUGCUGUGCGAGCUCGUUGCCGGCGUCCUUCCGGUGACCUUUUGGUCAUGGGGUCGUGCCUGUUGGACUCUCCGCUCCGUGCAGAUCCUCCCCAUCCUUUCCUUUUGCUCCAUAGCACACCGUAGCAUCUUUUCCAUCGUCGACCAUAGCCGCUCCGCCGCAAACCUCGUCGCCGGCGCCGUUUCCGGACAAGUCCGGCCAUGCCUCUGCCACCAUUCGACGCGGCAUUGUUCGCCCGUUCGAACGCACCCUCGCGCGCGCGAAUUUGCCGCAUGUAGACAUUUUCCGAUGAGGUCCGAGCAGCUCUACCGCGUCCUAGCAUCGCCGGCGGCGAGACGCCUGCCUCCGCCGACGUGGCUGGUUGGGACCCACCCUGGCUCACUGCCAGUUGGCCGCGCGGGCCCCAGUUGACUGGAUUGACCCAGUCAACUGCUGACUGGGCAACCCAGUGCCACUGACAUGCAGGCCCCACCGCUUAUUUAAGCUAAUUAAAAUGUUUUUAUAGUUAAAAGUAAUUAUUAAUCUAAUCCACCACUGACAUGUGGGGCCCAGCUGUUGAUUAACCUCUUUUUAGUUAGUUUAAAGUUCUGUUAGUCCACUGUCUAUGACAGGUGGGAGCCACUGGUCAGUUUGACCAGUCAGCCACUCUGUUGACCUGCUGAUGUCAUGUUGACACUCUGCUGACAUCAUAAUUCCUUUUCCCUUAAUUUAAUUAAUUCAGAAAAUACUUAAAUCUUUAAAAAUUCAUAGAAAAUAAACCGUAGCUCGGAUGGAAAAACUUUAUACAUGAAAGUUGCUCAGAACAAUGAGACGAACCCGAAUACGCUAACCACAUACCUGUCAGAUGCUUCUAACUAUCUGAACAUGGAACAUUCCCCUUCGGUCAUCUGUCUGACGCAGGCCCGGAUCCGGGAAUAUAUUCCCGGUUGAAUCCCCCCUGCACCUAUAUCGUGUAGCCAUACGUUAGUUCACACCCGGCACAACAUAUUGCCAUGUUAUGCUUUGUGAUGCUAUUUUUGCUUUAUAUUUACUGUUUCUUCCCCCUCUUCUCUCUGGUAGACCCCGAGACCGAUGCUGCCCCUGUGAUCGACUACGUCGACGAUGACCCCUCCUUGCCAGAGCAACCAGGCAAGCCCCCCUUUGAUCAUCCCGGUAUCACCCAUUCCAUUCUCUCAUGAUUGCAUUAGAUUUUGCUACUAUUAUUGAUUGCUCCUAUUCUGAUACAUAGCCUGCUUUUGUAUCUGUUGUUGUACCUAAACUGCUUAGUAUAGGUUGGUUAGUGAUCCAUCGAUGACCCCCACCUUGUCCUUGUUGCCCCUGCUUCAUCAUCAAAGACCCAAUCAACGGGAUCGAUGACCAGGCCCCGACACCGCACAUCACUUUCCCCUUAGUUGCUCGACACUACUGGGUUACUAUCGAGUACCGAGGGUGAGGCCUUAUUAGCACUUCUGAUGUUAACCCUGUAGUGUAGCUAUUCGGUCGUGGUCAUCGAAGGUGAAUUCCUCUUUAACCACUUCCGAUACGACUCUCCCAUGCAACCCCUCAAGUGUGAACCUCGAGGGUGGUCCUUCUUAUGUUCACCUUGAUGAGUACAUCGAGUGGAAUUCACCAGGGGUGAUUCCUCGGGUUUUCCCCUUGAUAUUUAGACACACAGUUACUAUGAUUACUAUGACUUUACACUGAACCAUGUUACUAAAGAUGGGUCGACCCUGAGGGGUACCUGCGCGAGCAUAAUUGCGAGUGAUGUGGAGUCGGGUUGACCUGGAAGGUGCCUGCGAGAUAAUUACGAGGCAUGGCCGAGCAUUCUUAGCCCUUGCCGCAAGUCCUCGAGACGGGGCAACGGGGUCACAUCUUUCGUGAGUCUCUGCUUGUUACCGCGCGUUCCUAAUCCACUAUGAUUUGGAUAGUUGAUCCGAGGGGCCUCUGGCCUGAUAGCACUAACUAUCACGUGGGCAUAGUAUGGGUGUUCUGCGUUGUAUGGAUCAACCGAAGCUGAAUAGAUAUCAGCGGCUGAGCGGCACGCGCCGGGUUGGACUGCAUAAGCACCUGCCUUUUUAAGGAGGUAGCUAGGUCUGCUCACCGGCUGCCCACGCAACAUGCAGGAGUUCCCUGGGCGAUGGCCCAUGAUCCGUGGGGGCAUAGGUUUAGUCCGGCAUGCUGACCUCUCUAUUAAGCCUAGGUCGGGUUGCGGCGUAUUGUUUGUCCGAGGCCGGGCAUGACCCAAGAAAGUGUGUCCGGCCGAACUUAAUCGAGCGUUGUCUGUAAUUUGGUGCACCUCUGCAGGGAAGAAAACAUCUAUCGAUAGCCUGUGCGACGGUAAUAGAUACUUGGAGUUGUAUCCCGAUCAAUACAACUAGAACUAGAUGCUUGUGAUGAGAAUUGGAUUGUGAUGAGAAAUUGAUAGUAUGGAUCUGGGAUUGCUUUCUCGCAGGGAGUCGAGAAAGGAUCUCUGGCCGAGGUUGAUAACACUACUACUACUUUACUUUAUGCUACUCUACUCCCUCCCGUUUGCUGCAAGAUGGUGGUUUCCAUAAGAUGCUAGUCUUUGAUAGGACUAGGCCUUCUCUCUAUUCUGGCAUUUCUGCAGCCCAGUCCACAUAUACAUCCUUCCUUUGAUAAUGUUGCAUAUGCAGUGUAGAUCCUUGCUUGCGAGUACUUUGGAUGAGUACUCAUGGUUGCUUUGCUCCCCCUUUGCCCCCUUCUUUUUCUUUCUGGUUGAUGCAACUAGAUGUCGGAGCCCAUGAGCCAUAUGCCACCGCUGGUGCCUACUACUACGUGGAGACCGCUGACGACCAGGAGUAGUUAGGAGGCUCCCAGGCAGGAGGCCUUGCCUUUUCGAUCGUAGAUGCUUUUGUGCUAGCCUUCUUAAGGCAAACUUAUCUAACUUAUGUCUGUACUCAGAUAUUGUUUCUUCAGCUGAUUCUUGUGUAUUCGAGCUUAUGUAUUCAAGCCCUCGAGGCCCCUGGCUUGUAAUAUAAAGCUUGUAUUAUUUUAAUUUGUGUCUAGAGUUGUGUUGUGAUAUCUUCCCGUGAGUCACUGAUCUUGAUCGUACACAUUUGCAUGUAUGAUUAGUGUAUGAUUGAAUCGAGGGCGUCACAUAUUGGAAGGUAGUAUUCGGACACCGGAAGGGUUCCGGAAUGUAUCGGGUACAUAUUGGAGUACUAGAGGGGUUACCAGAACCCCCCGGGGAAAGAUAUGGGCCAUAUGGGCCAUAGGAGGGAGGCUAACCAGCCCACAAGGGGCUGGCGCGCCCCCCAUAGGGAAGGAGGCCGAAUUGGACUAGGGAAGGGGCGGCUGUCGGUGUCAAAAUAGGCAGAUCACGGGUAGAGGGGCCCAAGUUGUGCGUCUAAGGAUCAACGGUAACAAGGGACCAGGGGACACAAUGUUUACCCACAUUCGGGCCCUCUUAAAGGAGGUAAAACCCUACUCCUGCUUGAGUAUAUUCCUCUGUUGGAAAAGACAAUGCCUAGGAGGCGCUUAUGCAUGCCUAGGCGCUAGGCAAUGGCCAAAUGCCUCGCCUAGGGCAUAAAUGGAGGUCUAGGCAGGGUAAGCAAGGAAUUGCCUACGCAAGCAAGAAAUCAUGCCACAUACUACACUAGUAUGCCAAACGGGUUAUAUUCCAAUGGUAGUAGACGGUAAUUAAAUUUUUCAUAUGCCCUAAACUAAUAUCAACACCCAUAUAAUAAUCACAAAUGCACUACGAGUAAAAACAAUAUUACCACCUAGGCCGCGCCUAGGGCUCUUAGGCACUGCCUAGGCACUAGGCGCAGGCCAACCGCCUCGCUUACGCCUACCGCCUUUUCCAACCCUUGGUAUAUUCUAAGAGUAUGAAGAUUACAAUAGUUGAUCUACCUCGAGAUCAUAAUGACUAAACCCUAGAUGUCUAGCCUAUGAGUAUUCCGAUGAUGGUGAUGAUGAUAGCCUCUACGGGCUAAGCCCUCCAGUUUAUAUACAUACCGGAGGGGCCUAGGUUUUGUAGAAGGUCGGUUCAUCAGGGAAGGAAACACCCGGACUCUAGUCUUGCCGUUUAGGUAUGAAGAAGUCCCAUCCGGACACGGAGAAUAAUCUUUAGCUUGGUCUUGUACGGCCCAUACUCCUGGGCCGGACACAUGAGGAUCCCCGAAUCCAGGACUCCCUCAGUAGCCCCCGAACUUGCCUUCAAUGAUGAUGUAGUGUGCGGAUAUAAGCCUUUGGCUUUGCAAGGCGGGUUCUCCACCAUACCCCGGCUUGACGAUAGUCCGUCAUCGGCUUCCGCGUCCAGUCUUUAUGAUUCCUUCCUGCCGUCGCCUCGAUUUCCACGUGUCUGAGCGAAUGCGAACGGUCCGUUACCUUUAUAUUUUAAUACUUUUAGUAGGCACGAGCGGUGCUUAUAUAACGAGGUUAGAUCCCCAAAACAUCAUCCCACAUCGCCCCAAGUGCAACAGAGCAAACCACGAAAAAAGCUCAAACCAUGGCUAGUGUCCCCGGCUCCUCCUCGCGUCCGCAUGGCCAUCAAGACGGAGAUUGGAAAAGUUUUUUUGUAUCUCAUCUUUAGCUCAAUCAUCUCCAGACGCAAGGAUAUCUUCCCCUCGUGGAUCUAGUCUCUGUAUGGGCAGGAUUGACUUCUAUGGGUGAUGAUGCAUCGACAAAGAAUUUCCCCAACCCUAGCCGAGGGGAGAGGGUAUGCUUCAUAUCAUUCCUCCUGAGGGGCGUAGGAUUCCCAAUCCACCCUUACGUAGGGGCCUACUGGAAUAUUACGGGAUCUACCUACACAACCUCACACCAGGUCCCGUUCUGCAUAUUUCUAGUUUCAUUGCCCUUUGCGAAUUAUUUUUAGGCUGCGAGGCUCAUUUUGAACUAUGGAAAAAGUUAUUUUGCCUCGUCCCCCACCACUAGGGCAGAGGGUGUAUAUUUGAAGUGGGCAGCGCCGAAGUAUGGCGUAUAGCCGGAUUUGGUUACCCAGUCGGGACUCCGAAGUGGGGGUCCGACGAAUGGUCUUCGGAAUGGUUUUACAUUGAGGAUGUUCCUCUUCCGGACCCUGUUUGGAGUAGACUUCCCGAAUUCUCCAGCGCUCCCUUGAAGAAGCUAUUCAGCUAGCAUCCCAAGUCCUCCGGACAAGAGGAUAGUGCGAAAGUGAUGAGAUUGUUUAGCAAGGUCAGAUUAUUGACCCACUUCGGACUCUCCAUGGUUGAAGUCAUGGCUAUUGCAAUAAAGUGGUGUAUCCAGCCUCUUCAGUCCCGAGUGGGUCCUUUAUGGAACUACAAUGGGGAGGAUGAUGCGUCUCGCUAUACACGAAAGGGUUUGGACAACCAAGCCACAUUGGCUGACUUGUUGAUGGAUCUUUAUAAGGGAGAAGAAGAAGACUUUGCCCGUUUAAAUUGCAGGGAGGGUUUCUCCAUGUACAACCCCAUUAACUGCAUAAGCUUAGUCAUUCAACACCUUUUUUUAUCAUUGGGAUGCAUUAACUGAAUACUCUAGUUGCUUUAAAACAGUCAUGGAGGAAGGUAGUCAAGAACAUUUAUUGCCCUCCUCCCCAGCCAGAAGACCAUGCACGUCAUGAAGACCCCGGAUUCCAUGAGGAUCCGGAUAUAUUCGUGGAAUUUGAAGAUGAAGUUUAUUACCAGGCGAGCUUUGACGGCUCGGAAGUAGCCAUCAUGGCCGAUUACCCCGAUCUCUACCGCUUUGUUAAGGUAAGUGUCCGGAAAUGAAAAAAGGGUGACAUUUCCGCUCAUAACUUUGCCCUCCGCACUGGGUCGUGUCUUGUAGGAUGGGCACUCAGCGAGCCAUACCCAAGGUAGGGCAACAAGAAGGACGACACCCUCAAGGAGUUGACGUGUGAAGCGAAAGGAAGCGGGAGGUCCACUGAGCCUGCUCCAUCACCAAAAAGGUAUAUUCCUUAUUUUAUACUUGGGCGUAAGGCCGAAUUGUCGUUUUCAUCCUCCCUCUAUCAUCUCAGGAGAGGUAUACGGUGAACCGUGCCAAAGAUCCCAGCAAGCCGAGCCACAGCCAAUGUGAUGCCGAAUUUGUCAACUAGGACGAGGGUGCAUACAGGGGUCACACCAACUCAUCCACCUUAGGAAGAUCCGGAUGAAGUGUCCAUCACUAACUCUGAGGUGGAGAGCGUGAUAAAUCACCGCCGCUUAAAAGAAACCCUGCGUGCCUUGGUCUUUUCGGAGGAAGAGUUUUCCGCUCUCAGCACCGUGGGCAUGUAUAUCCGAGCUGCCCGGGAUGUACUUACGGGUGUUACUAACCUAUUCUCAAAGGAUAUCCAUGUGAAAAUUUAUGCAAAUCUAAGAUAUAGAUACCAAUAGCCCCCAAGACUUAAAGUGGUAGGAACCAACCGAUUUGAGGAUCGUUUAUGACCGCAGGUUCUCAAGGAGAAGAAUAGCGCAUUAUCCCAGGAGCUCAAGACAAGCCGAACACAGCUGAAUGUUGCUGUCACCGAGCUUGAAGAAAGGAAGAGUGCCCCAAUGACUGGGGGAAAAGAUAAAAAACUAGAAGAGGAAGUGAAGAAGCAGGCUGAAGAUAAUAGAGCUUAAAGGCUCAACUCUUGGAGGCGCAAUAGGAAAACCAAAAGCUGAAGGGCGACAUAUUUGGUAUGACUUUUGAACCAUUUGGAGUAUUGGUCUAAUCAUACAAUACGGAAUGUUAUAAUUCAGUUUUGUACAGGUAUGUUAACCAGCCACCAAGGAGAGGAAGUGUCCGGGCUUCAAAGCGACGUUUUAAAAGAACUAUCAAAGUUGCAUGAGCGUGCCCGGAAAGCCAUGAAGAACAUGGACAAAGCCUUAUGGCCAUCUGAUGCCCCACCAGAAAGUAUGGAGGGGUUGAGAGAUCUAUUCAAGGGUGCUGGGCGUCACUUCGAGCUAUGGAAGACGUCUGCGUAUCGGGAAGGUGCGCGAGAGGCAUGGGCCAUGGUGAACACAUGCUACACCGGACUUGAUCCGAAUCAUAUGCCCGAGUUGGACCUCAGGGACCGGAUGGGAAAGACAUUCCUAUAAACUUGGUAUAUGACCAAGUAAUGACAGCAGCGAAAUAUUUGCAACAAGAUUGUAAGCUAGAUAGCCUUUUAGAUGGUGUAGAAAGAGACUAGGUGUUCGAUUCUAUGUAUCAAUGUACUUUAUGACUGAACUUAUCUCCUGCCGAACUUAUAAUUUUUUUUGUCAUCUCAGACCUUCGGCUUCCAUCUCUGAACCAAGAAGUUGGAGUGUUUCCGUAUACUAUAUUUAACUAAGAAAUGUUUAGUAUCUUCCAAAACCAGGCAAUCCGGGCAUAUUGCUCGAACAGACAAAAUAUGUUCGAGGAGUUAUGUUAUAUUACUAUUUAACCUAAGAAACAUCUUGUAUGAAAAAUAGUUCCGUUAGGGGUUCCUUUCCUUGGGUUAGCAUGCUAAAUGAUGCAUGCCUAGGCUCGUAUCCGAAGUACAGACAACCAAUUCCGUAAUUGUCCAGUCUGUCGUUUAUUCGCCGACCAAUUAUUUCCUUAAGAACGUUAGCUUUCGGCUUCACCCGUCUGAGGUACAGGUCCAGAUAACCCGGUUGAAACAAUCGUAGAGGUACUCCCUUUAUGCCCUAGCCGAACAAUCGGGAACAUAGGGUAUAAACACAGGAGUAAGGCAACCCAGCUUGGCAAAAACUUAAGUCAUAGACGUGCAUAAAUGAAGGAAAUAUGCCCUAGAGGCAACAAUAAAGUUAUUAUUUAUUUCCUUAUAUCAUGAUAAAUGUUUAUUAUUCAUGCUAGAAUUGUAUUAACCAUAAACAUAAUACAUGUGUGAAUACAUAGACAAACAGAGUGUCACUAGUAUGCUUCUACUUGACUAGCUUGUUGAUCAAAGAUGGUUAUGUUUCCUAACCAUAGACAUGUGUUGUCAUUUGAUUAACGGGAUCACAUCAUUAGGAGAAUGAUGUGAUUGACAUGACCCAUUCCGUUAGCUUAGCACACGAUCGUUUAGUAUAUUGCUAUUGCUUUCUUCAUGACUUAUACAUGUUCCUAUGACUAUGAGAUUAUGCAACUCCCGUUUACCGGAGGAACACUUUGUGUGCUACCAAACGUCACAACGUCACUGGGUGAUUAUAAAGGAGCUCUACAGGUGUCUCCAAAGGUACAUGUUGGGUUGGCGUAUUUCGAGAUUAGGAUUUGUCACUCCGAUUGUCGGAGAGGUAUCUCUGGGCCCUCUCGGUAAUGCACAUCACUUAAGCCUUGCAAGCAUUGCAACUAAUGAGUUAGUUGUGAGAUGAUGUAUUAUGGAACGAGAAAAGAGACUUGCUGGUAACGAGAUUGAACUAGGUAUUGAGAUACCGACGAUCGAAUCUCGGGCAAGUAACAUACCGAUAACAAAGGGAACGACGUAGGUUGUUAUUCGGUUUGACCGAUAAAGAUCUUCGUAGAAUAUGUGGGAGCCAAUAUGAGCAUCCAGGUUCCGCUAUUGGUUAUUGACCGGAAAUGUGUUUCGGUCAUGUAUACAUUGUUCUCGAACCUGUAGGGUCCACACGCUUAAGGUUUCGAUGACAGUUAUAUUAUGAGUUUAUGAGUUUUGAUGUACCAAAGGAGUUCGGAGUCCCGGAUGAGAUCGGGGACAUGACGAGGAGUCUCGAAAUGGUCGAGACAUAAAGAUCGAUAUAUUGGAUGACUAUAUUCGGAGUUUGGAAAGGUUCCGAGUGAUUCGGGUAUUUUUCGGAGUACCGGAGAGUUACGGGAAUUCGCCGGGGAGUAUAUGGGCCUUAUUGGGCCAUACGGGAAUAGAGGAGAGAGGCCGAAAGGAAGGAGGCGCGCAGCCCCCCUCUUGUCCGAAUUGGACAAGGGGUGCAGCCCCCUUUUCCUUCCUCCUCUCCCCCUCUUUCCUUCUCUCCUACUCCAGCAAGGAAGGGGGGAGUCCUACUCCUGGUGGGAGGAGGACUCCUCCUGGCGCGCCCCUCCUGGCCGGCCGACCCCCUCCCCCUGGCUCCUUUAUAUACGGGGGCAGGGGGGCACCUCAAGGCACAACAACAAUUGAUCCUUGAGAUCUCUUAGCCGUGUGCGGUGCCCCCCUCUACCAUAGUCCUCAAUAAUAUUGUAGCGGUGCUUAGGCGAAGCCCUGCGACAGUAGAACAUCAAGAUCGUCACCACGCCGUCGUGCUGACGGAACUCUUCCUCGACACUUUGCUGGAUCGGAGCCCGGGGAUCGUCAUCGAGCUGAACGUGUGCUAGAACUCGGAGGUGCCGUAGUUUCGGUGCUUGAUCGGUCGGGCCGUGAAGACGUACGACUACAUCAACCGCGUUGUUAUAACGUUUCCGCUUUCGGUCUACGAGGGUACAUGGACAUACUCUCCUCUCUCAUUGCUAUGCAUCACCAUGAUCUUGCGUGUGCGUAGGAUUUUUUUUUGAAAUUACUACGUUCCCCUGCAGUGGCAUCCAAGCCUGGUUUUAUGCGUAGAUGUCAUAUACACGAGUAGAACACAAGUGAGUUGUGGGCGAUACAAGUCAUACUGCUUACCAGCAUGUCAUACUUUGGUUCGCUGGUAUUAUUGGAUGAAGCGGCCCGGAAUGACAUUACACGUACGCUUACGUGAGACUGCUUCUACCGACGUGCUUUGCACAAAGGUGGCUGGCGGGUGUCAGUUUCUCCAACUUUAGUUGAACCGAGUGUGGCUACACCCGGUCCUUGCGAAGGUUAAAACAACACCAACUUGAAAAAGUAUCAUUGUGGUUUUGAUGCGUAGGUAAGGACGGUUCUUGCUAAGCCCGUAGCAGCCACGUAAAACUUGCAACAACAAAGUAGAGGACGUCUAACUUGUUUUUGCAGGGCAUGUUGUGAUGUGAUAUGGUCAAGACAUGAUGCUAAAUUUUAUUGUAUGAGAUGAUCAUGUUUUGUAACAGAGUUAUCGGCAACUGGCAGGAGCCAUAUGGUUGUCGCUUUAUUGUAUGCAAUGCAAUCGCCCUGUAAUGCUUUACUUUAUCACUAAGCGGUAGCGAUAGUCGUAGAAGCAUAAGAUUGGCGAGACGACAACGAUACUACGAUGGAGAUCAAGGUGUCACGCCGGUGACGAUGGUGAUCAUGACGGUGCUUCGAAGAUGGAGAUCACAAGCACAAGAUGAUGAUGGCCAUAUCAUAUCACUUAUAUUGAUUGCAUGUGAUGUUUAUCUUUUAUGCAUCUUAUCUUGCUUUGAUUGAUGGUAGCAUUAUAAGAUGAUCCCUCACUAAAUUAUCAUAGUAAAAGUGUUCUCCCUGAGUAUGCACCGUUGCGGAAGUUCUUCGUGCUGAGACACCACGUGAUGAUCGGGUGUGAUAGGCUCUACGUUCAAAUACAACGGGUGCAAAACAGUUGCACACGCAGAAUACUCAGGUUAAACUUGACGAGCCUAGCAUAUAACAGAUAUGGCCUCGGAACACGGAGAACGAAAGGUUGAUCGUGAAUCAUAUAGUAUAUAUGAUCAACAUAUUGAUGUUCACCGUUGAAACUACUCCAUCUCAUGUGAUGAUCGGACAUGGUGUAGUUGAUAUGGAUCACGUAAUCACUUAGAGGAUUAGAGGGAUGUCUGCCUAAGUGGGAGUUCUUAAGUAAUAUGAUUAAUUGAACUUAAAUUUAUCAUGAACUUAGUCCUGGUAGUAUUUUGCAAAUUAUGUUGUAGAUCAAUAGCUUGCAUUCUUGCUUUCAUAUGUUUAUUUUGAUAUGUUCCUAGAGAAAAUUGUGUUGAAAGAUGUUAGUAGCAAUGAUGCGGAUUGGAUCUGUGAUCUGAGGUUUAUCCUCAUUGCUACACAGAAGAAUUAUGUCCUUAAUGCACCACUAGAUGACAGACCUAUUGUAGGAGCAGAUGCAGACGUUAUGAACGUUUGGCUAGCUCAAUAUGAUGACUACUUGAUAGUUUAGUGCACCAUGCUUAAUGGCUUAGAAUCGGGACUUCAAAGACGUUUUGAACGUCAUGGACCAUAUGAGAUGUUCCAGGAGUUGAAGUUAAUAUUUCAAGCAAAUACCCGAGUUGAGAGAUAUGAAGUCUCCAACAAGUUUUAUGGCUAAAAGAUGGAGGAGAAUCGCUCAACUAGUGAGCAUGUGCUCAGAUUGUCUGGGUACUACAAUCGCUUGAAUCAAGUGGGAGUUAAUCUUCCAGAUAAGAUAGUGAUUGACAGAGUUCUCUAGUCACCAUCACCAAGUUAGUAGAACUUUGUGAUGAACUAUAGUAUGCAAGGGAUGUCGAAAACGAUUCCUGAGCUCUUCGUGAUGUUGAAAUCGACGAAGGUAGAAAUCAAGAAAGAGCAUCAAGUGUUGAUGGUUGACAAGAUCACUAGUUUCAAGAAAAAGGUCAAAGGGAAAGAAAGGGGAAUUUCAACUAGAGUGACAAGCAAGUUGUCACACCCAUGAAGAAGCCCAAAGCUAGACCAAAGCCUAAAACUGAGUACUUCUACUGCAAAGGAAAUGGUUACUGGAAGCGGAAAUGCCAUGAAUAUUUGGUGGAUAAGAAGGAUGGCAAAGUGAACAAAGGUUAUAUUUGAUAUACAGGUUAUUGAUGUGUACCUUACUAGUGUUUAUAGUAGCCCCUGAGUAUUUGAUACUUGUUCAAUUGCUGAGAUUAGUAACUCGAAACAGGAGUUACAGAAUAAACAGAGACUAGUUGAGGGUGAAGUGACGAUGUAUGUUGGAAGUGGUUCCAAGAUUGAUAUGAUCAUCAUCGCACACUCCCUAUACUUUCGGGAUUAGUGUUAAACCUAAAUAAAUGUUAUUUGGCAUUUGCGUUAAGCAUGAAUAUGAUUUGAUCAUGUUUAUUGCAAUACGGUUAUUCAUUUAAAGUCAGAGAAUAAUUGUUAUUCUGUUUACAUGAAUAAAACCUUCAAUGGUCAUACACCCAAUGAAAAUAGUUUGUUGGAUCUCCAUCGUAGUGAUAUACAUAAUCAUAAUAUCAAUGCCAAAAGAUGCAAAGUUGAUAAUGAUAGUGCAACUUAUUUGUGGCACUGCCGUUUGGGUCAUAUCGGUGUAAAGCGCAUGAAGAAACUCCAUAAAAUAUGGAUUUUUGGAAUCACUUGGUUAUGAAUCAUUUGAUGCUUGUGAAACCAUGCCUUAUGGGCAAGAUGACUAAAACUCCGUUCUCCGGAACAAUGGAACGAGCUACUGACUUGUUGGAAAUAAUACAUACUGAUGUAUGUGGUCCAAUGAGUGUUGAUGCUCAUGGCAAGUAUCGUUAUUUUCUGACCUUCACAGAUGAUUUGAGCAGAUAUGGGUAUAUGUACUUAAUACAAGUCUGAAACAUUUGAAAAAGUUCAAAGAAUUUCAGAGUGAAGUGGAGAAUCAUCGUAACAAGAAAAUAAAAUUUCUACGAUUUGAUCGUGGAGGAGAAUAUUUGAGUUACGAGUUUGGUCUUCAAUUAAAACAAUGUGGAAUAGUUUCACAAACUCAUGCCACCUGGAACACCACAGCUUAAUGGUGUGUCCGAACGUCGUAACCGUACUUUAUUGGAUAUAGUGCAAUCUAUGAUGUCUCUUAUCGGUUUACCACUAUCAUUUUUGGGGUUAUGCAUUAGAGAAAGUUGCAUUCACUUUAAAAAGGGCACCAUCGAAAUCUGUUGAGACGACGCCUUAUGAACUGUGGUUUGGCAAGAAACCAAAAGUUGUCAUUUCUUAAAAGUUUGGGGCUACGAUGCUUAUAUGAAAAAGUUUCAACCUGAUAAGCUCGAAUCCAAAUCGGAGAAGUGCGUCUUCAUAGGAUACCUAAGAGGAAACUAUUGGGUACACCUUCUAUCACAGAUCCGAAGGCAAUAUAUUCGUUGCUAAGAUGGAUCUUUUCUAGAGAAGAAGUUUCUCUCGAAAGAAGUGAGUGGGAGGAAAGUAGAACUUGAUGAGGUAAUUGUACCUUCUCCCUUAUUGGAAAGUAGUUCAUCACAGAAAUCAGUUAUAGUGAUUCCUACACCAAUUAGUGAGGAAGUUAAUGAUGAUGAUCAUGAAACUUCAGAUCAAGUUGCUACCAAACCUCGUGGGUCUUCCAGAGUAAGAUCCGCACCAGAGUGGUACGGUAAUCCUGUUCUGGAAGUCAUGUUACUAGACCAUGAUGAACCUACGAACUAUGAGGAAACGAUGAUGAGCCCAGAUCCACGAAAAUGGCUUGAGACCAUGAAAUCUGAGAUGGGAUCCAUGUAUGAGAACAAAGUGUGGACUUUGGUUGUCUUGCCCGAUGAUCGGCAAGCUAUAGAAAAUAAAUGGAUUUUCAAGAGGAAGAUGGACGCUGAUAGUAGUGUUACUAUCUACAAAGCUCAACUUAUCGCAAUUUUUUUUCGACAAGUUCAAGGUGUUGAAUACGAUGAGAUUUUCUCACUCAUAUUGAUGCUUAAGUCUGUCCGAAUCAUGUUAGCAAUUGCCACAUUUUAUGAAAUCUGGCAAAUGGAUGUCAAAACUGCAUUCUUUAAUGGAUUUAUUAAAGAAGAGUUGUAUAUGAUGCAACCGGAAGGUUUUGUCAAUCCUAAAGGUGCUAACAAAAUGUGCAAGCUCCAGCGAUCCAUCAAUGGACUGGUGCAAGCAUCUCGGAGUUGGAAUAUAUGCUUUGAUGAGUUGAUCAAAGCAUAUGGUUUUAUGCAGACUUUUGGAAAGGCAUGUAUUGACAAGAAAGUGAGUGGGAGCACUACAACCUUUCUGAUAAGUAUAUGUGAAUGACAUAUUAUUAAUUGGAAAUGAUGUAGAAUUUUCUGGAAAGCAUAAAGGAGUGUUUGAAAGGAGUUUUUCAAAGAAAGGCCUCAGUAAAGCUACUUACAUAUUGAGCAUCAAGAUCUAUUGAGAUAGAUCAAGACGCUUGAUAAGAUUUUCAAUUAGUACAUACCUUGACAAGAUCUUGAAGUAGUUCAAAAUGGAACAGUCAAAGAAAGAGUUCUUGCCUAUGAUGCAAAGGUGUGAAGUUGAGUAAGACUCAAAACCCGACCAUGGCAGAAAAUAGAAAGAGAAUGAAAAGGCAUUCCCUAUGCCUCAGUCAUAGGUUCUAUAAAGUAUGCUAUGCUGUGUAACAGACCUAUUGUAUAUCUUGCUCUGAGUUUGGCAAAGGAAUACAAUUUUGAUCUUAGAGUAGAUCACUGGACAGCGGUCAAGAAUAUCCUUAGUGAGGACUAAGGAGAUGUUUCUUGAUUGUGGUGGUGAUAAAAGAGUUUGUCGUAAAGAGUUACAUCGAUGCAAGCUUUUACACCGAUCCAGAUGACUCUAAGUCUCAAUCUGGAUACAUAUUGAAAGUGGGAGCAAUUAGCUAGAGUAGCUCCGUGCAGACAAUUGUAGACAUAGAAUAUUUGCAAAAUACAUACGGCUCUAAAUGUGACAGACCCAUUGACUAAACUUUUCUCACGAGCAAAACAUGAUCAUACCUUAGUACUCUUUUGGGUGUUAAUAACAUAGCAAUGUGAACUAGAUUAUUGACUCUAGUAAACGCUUUGGGUGUUGAUCACAUGACGAUGUGAACUAUGGGUAUUAAUCACAUAUAGAUGUGAAUAUUGGUGUUAAAUCACAUGCUGAUGUGAACUAGAUUAUUGACUCUAGUGCCAGUGGGAGACUGAAGGAAAUAUGCUCUAGAGGCAAUAAUAAAGUUAUUAUUUAUUUCCUUAUAUCAUGAUAAAUGUUUAUUAUUCAUGCUAGAAUUGUAUUAAUCGGAAACAUAAUACAUGUGUGAAUACAUAGACAAACAGAGUGUCACUAGUAUGCCUCUACUUGACUAUCUUGUUGAUCAAAGAUGGUUAUGUUUCCUAACCAUAGACAUGUGUUGUCAUUUGAUUAACGGGAUCACAUCAUUAGGAGAAUGAUGUGAUUGACAUGACCCAUUCCGUUAUCUUAGCACACGAUCGUUUAGUAUAUUGCUAUUGCUUUCUUCAUGACUUAUACAUGUUCCUAUGACUAUGAGAUUAUGCAACUCCCGUUUACCGGAGGAACACUUUGUGUGCUACCAAACGUCACAAUGUCACUUGGUGAUUAUAAAGGAGCUCUACAGGUGUCUCCAAAGGUACAUGUUGGGUUGGCGUAUUUCGAGAUUAGGAUUUGUCACUCCGAUUGUCAGAGAGGUAUCUCUGGGCCCUCUCGGUAAUGCACAUCACUUAAGCCUUGCAAGCAUUGCAACUAAUGAGUUAGUUGUGAGAUGAUGUAUUACGGAACGAGAAAAGAGACUUGCCGGUAACGAGAUUGACCUAGGUAUUGAGAUACCGACGAUCGAAUCUCGGGCAAGUAACAUACCGAUGACAAAGGGAACGACGUAUGUUGUUAUUUGGUUUGACCGAUAAAGAUCUUCAUAGAAUAUGUGGGAGCCAAUAUGAGCAUCCAGGUUCGCUAUUGGUUAUUGACCGGAAACGUGUUUCAGUCAUGUCUACAUUGCUCUCGAACUCGUAGGGUCCGCACGCUUAAGGUUUCGAUGACAGUUAUAUUGUGAGUUUAUGAGUUUUGAUGUACCGAAGGAGUUCGGAGUCCCGGAUAAGAUCGGGGACAUGACGAGGAGUCUCGAAAUGGUCGAGAUGUAAAGAUCGAUAUAUUGGACGACUAUAUUCGGAGUUCGGAAAGGUUCCGAGUGAUUCGGGUAUUUUUUGGAGUACCGGAGAGUUACUGGAAUUCGCCGGGGAGUAUAUGGGCCUUAUUGGGCCAUACGGGAAUAGAGGAGAGAGGCCGAAAGGAAGGAGGCGCGCAGCCCCCCUCUGGUCCGAAUUGGACAAGGGGUGCAGCCCGCUUUUCCUUCCUCCUCUCCCCCUCUUUCCUUCUCUCCUACUCCAACAAGGAAGGGGGGAGUCCUACUCCCGGUGGGAGGAGGACUCCUCCUGGCGCGCCCCUCCUGGCCGGCCGACCCCCUCCCCCUGGCUCAUUUAUAUACGGGGGCAAGGGGGCACCUCAAGGCACAACAACAAUUGAUCCUUGAGAUCUUUUAGCCGUGUGCGGUGCCCCCUCCACCAUAGUCCUCGAUAAUAUUGUAGCGGUGCUUAGGCGAAGCCCUGCGACAGUAGAACAUCAAGAUCGUCACCACGCCGUCGUGCUGACGGAACUCUUCCCCGACACUUUGCUGGAUCGGAGUCCGGGGAUCGUCAUCGAGCUGAACGUGUGCUAGAACUCGGAGGUGUCGUAGUUUCGGUGCUUGAUCGGUCGGGCCGUGAAGACGUACGACUACAUCGACCGCGUUGUUAUAACGCUUCCGCUUUCGGGAUACGAGGGUACGUGGACAUACUCUCCUCUCUCGUUGCUAUGCAUCACCAUGAUCUUGCGUGUGCGUAGGAAUUUUUUUUGAAAUUACUACGUUCCCCUUCAGUGGCAGAAGCAACAAUCGUCAUGGACAAAGAAGCUUAUAAGCUUUCAAUAAAGUGCUUCGUUAAAGAGGCCCCCAUGUAUGGUGAGGUGUAUGCAUUUAAAGAUGUGCACCCCGAAUAAUGCGGUUGAUCCGAACGUACAUUUGAGAAGGAAAAGGAAAAAAUCAAAAAGGGAGAGAAAAAGGAAAAAACCUAGUUAAGAUGAAACCUAAGGAGGCCUAACUAUGCGUAGAAUCUUCGGAGCCGGGUAGCGUUCCAUGGGUUCAGCUCAAGGCGAUUAUCCGCUGCAUUGCGAAGGCGAUAGACUCCUCCAAUAAGGAAUUCAUCUAUGACGAAGGGCCCCUCCUAUUUGGGUUUGAGCUUGUCCUUUUUAUUUUUCAGGAGGCGUAAAACAAGUUCUCCAACAUUGUAUGUCUUAGCUCACACUUCUCUGCUUUGGUAAUGCCUGACCUAUUAUUGAUAAAUUACAGAACGAGCCUUAGCAACAUCGCGCUCCUCUUCGAGUCCGUCUAGGUCAUCCUGCCGAUCUAAUUCGGCUUCUCUCUCUUCAUACAUGCGCACUCUAGGUGAGUCAUGAAUAAUGUCAUAGGGCAAUACGGCCUCUGCGCCGUACACCAUAAAGAAGGGUGUAUAUCCGGUAGUUCGACUGGGUGUGGUCUGGAGUCCCCAGAGUACGAAAUCGAGUUCCUCAACCCAGUGCUUGUAUGAUUCUCGCAAAGAGCGCAUGAGUCUAGGCUUAAUGCUACUCAUGAUCAGACCAUUGGCCCUUUCGACUUGGCCGUUUGUUUGAGGGUGGUAUACGGAUGCAUAGUUGAGUUUAAUGCCCAACUUAGCACACCAAGUUUUCACCUCAUCAGCUAUAAAGUUGGAGCCAUUAUCAGUGAUGAUACUAUGCGGGACACCAUAACGAUGGACUACGCCGAAUAUAAAGUCAAUCACUGGCCCUGCCUCAGCUGUUUUUACCGGUUUGGCCUCUAUCCACUUAGUGAAUUUAUCCACCAUUACCAGCAAGUAUUUCUUUUUGUGGCUUCCCCCUUUAAGGGGUUCAACCAUAUCAAGCCCCCAAACCGCGAAGGGACAAGUAAUGGGGAUUGUUCUUAAUGCGGUGGGAGACAUGUGACUUUGAUUGGCGAAAAGCUGGCAGCCCACGCAAUGCUGGACAAGGGCUUGAGCAUCUGCUCGAGCCAUGGGCCAGAAAAAACCUAUCCUGAACGCCUUGCUUACAAGGGCUCAAGCUGCGGCGUGAUGACCACCCAGGCCAGCAUGUAUUUCUACCAAGAGUUGCCUUCCCUCCUCUUCAGAGAUACACCUUUAGAGUACUCCGGUAGUGCUCUUUUUGUAUAGUUCACCCUCAUGCAUCGAGCUUCAUUUUGAUCGUUGGGAAGUUCCUGCCUAUUAAGGUAGGCCAGGAAUGGUUCGGUCCAGGGGCGACAACAACCAUGAUCUCAUGAGCAGAGGGUGUUAUCUCGAUAUCCAGACCCCCAACGUUGUCUGCAUUGUGUUCGGCAGCUGGGGGUGUGAUCAAGUCCGUACUGCCUUCUCUGCUUUCACCCUGCCAUACUACGGAUGGCUUAAAGAGCCUUUCCACGAAAGUGUUAGGUGGCACAGGGUCACGCUUAGCGCCCAUAUGAGCGAGGAUAUCGGCUUCCUGAUUACUCUCUCGAGCGACGUGAUGAAACUCAGGUCCUUUGAACCGAGCUGGUAUUUUUAAUAUGGCGUUUCCAUAUGCCGCCAUUUUUUGGUCCUUUGCGCUGAACUCUCCAUUGACCUGGGAUAUUGCGAGGUUGGAAUCACCGCGCACCUUCAUGCGUUGUAUACCCAUGGAGACAACCAUGCGAAGACCAUGUAGCAGCGCCUCAUAUUUGGCGGCAUUGUUGGAGUCCGUAUACAUAAUUUGUAAUACAUAGCAGACUGUGUCCCCCAUAGGAGAUGUUAGGAUGACGCCAGUCCCCAGGCCGGCCAGCAUUUUGGAACUAUCAAAGUACAUAAUCCAAUUGGAGUAUGAGCUAUACUCUUUAGGGAGUUCGGCAUCCGUCCAUUUGGCGACAAAGUUGGCCAACACCUGGGAUUUAAUAGCCCGGUGUGGCUUGUAUACUAUUUCGAAUGGUAAAAGCUCGAUGGCCCAUUUGGCUAUGCGCCCAGUGGCGUCCCUGUUAUUGAUAAUGUCAUUGAGUGGUACUUGGGAUGCCACUGUGACCGAACACUCUUGAAAGUAGUGUCGUAGUUUUCGGGAUGCCAUGAAGACUGUGUAGGCUAUCUUCUGAUAGUGGGGGUAUCGAAUUUGCAAGGUGUAAAGACCUCUGAUACAUAAUAGACUGGUUUUUGGGUGGGGAAUUUAUGUCCCUCUUCCCCUCAUUCGACGACGAGUACAACACUAACUACUUGGUUAGUUGCCGAGAUGUAUAAUAACAUAGGCUCACUAACACUUGGGGCAGCUAGGAUUGGGUUGCUUGUGAGUAGAGCCUUGAUUUCUUCCAAUCCGGCUGUUACAUCGUCUGUUCAUUCAAAAUUAUCAGUGCGUCAUAAUAGCUUGUAGAGUGGUAAUGCUUUUUCUCCCAAUUUGGUGAUAAAACGGCUUAAGGCCACAACGCACCCUGCUAGUUUUUGGACUUGCUUUAGGUCUGUUCGUAUAGCCAAUUGUGAUAGAGCUCGGAUUUUGGCCGGGUUUGCUUCAAUUCCUCUAUGGGGAACAAUAAACCCUUGCAAUUUUCCGGCUGGUACUCCGAAGACACAUUUUUCCAGAUUAAGCCGUAUGUCGUAUGUUCGGAGGUUGUCGAAGGUGAGGCGGAUAUCGUCCACCAGUGUGUCGACGCGCUUUGUCUUGAUGACCAUGUCAUCUACGUAUCCUUCGACUGUUUUGCCAAUUUUUUUUCAAUCAAGUUUGAAUCAUACGCUGGUAGGUAGCCCCAGCGUUUUUGAGCCCAAAGGGCAUAAUGUUGAAGCAGAAGGGACCAUAAGGGGUGAUGAACAUGGUUGCGUCCUGAUCCGAUUCCUCACCUGAAUCUGAUGGUAUUCGGAAUAGGCAUCAAGGAAUCACAAAGAAUCUUGUCCUGAAGUUGUGUCAAUGAUUUGGUCGAUGCGGGGCAAUGGGAAGGGGUCUUUAGGGCAAGCCUUGUUGAGGUCUCUGAAAUUGACCCACAGGCGCCAGGAUUUGUCCUUCUUUGGUACCAUAACCAAGUUGGCUAACCAAUCUGGAUGUUUAAUUUCCCUUAUAAACCCAGCCUCUAGCAACUUGGCUAACUCUUCUCCCAUGGCUUGACGCUUUGGGUUCGGAGAAUCGCCGUAGUGUCUGCUUCACGGGUUUGAAUCCCUUGAUUACAUUGAGACUGUGUUCAGCCAGACUACGUGGGAUGUCGGGCAUGUCUGAGGGGUGCCAGGCAAAAAUAUCCCAAUUCUCUCGCAAGAAUGUGCGAAGGGCGGCGUCCACUGCCGAAUCCAGCGUGCUCCGAUAGAUGUUGUCUUGUUAGGGUCCGUCGGCUGCACUUGGAAUUUAACUAUUUCCUCAGCUGGCUUGAAAGAGGUGGAUUUGGAUCUCUUAUCGAGAAUCACACCAUCCCUAUCCACUGUGUAGCGUAGGGUGGUUAAUUCUUAAGCCGCUAGGGCUUUGGAUAGCGGCUGGAGGGCCAAGGAUGCGGUUUUGAUUUUGGCACGAAGGGCUUUGUCUGGGUCGCUCGAAAUUGUUAUGAUUCCGUCGGGUCCGGCCAUUUUAAGCUUCAUGUACCCAUAAUGGGGUAUGGCUUGGAAGCAUGAAAAGGCGUCCCAUCCCAGGAUUGCAUGGUACCCACUGUUGUAGGUGACAACAUGAAAGAGCAACUCUUCGGAUAUGUAGUUCUCAGGCAUGCCGAAUACCACAUCCAGUCUAAUUCUCCCAGAGCAUCAUGCUUCUCGAUUGAGGAUAAUGCCUCGAAAGGCGGUAUUGCUUUUCUCAAUGCAUGAUCUAUCCAUAUGCAUUUUGUCGAGUGUGUCUUCCUAGAUAAGGUUAAGCCGACUGCCGCCGUCCAUGAGCACUAUAGUGAGCUGAAAAUCAUCCACGAUGGGGUUUAGUACUAGGGCGGUGGGUGCUCGGACUGACCGAGCCUUUGGUUCGUCUUUGUCCGUAAAGGUUAUUGCUGUGUCGUUCCAUGGGCUCAGUGUGGUAACUUGGUGGACUUCGGCGAGGUCGCCGAGCACCCAUUUGCGCCGAUUAUUUGAAGAGAAGGUCUCAAAGACCGUGAGGACAUUAAAGUCAUCCUUCUCUGGAGAGUAUUUAUCUGGAGUGGUGGUGAGGAUGGCCUCUCCACUUUUUGCUACUUGUCGGAGUACCCAACAUGCUUGAAGGCUAUGGGUUGGGUCUGUGCGCAGAGUGGCAUGUAUCGGGCAGGGCUUGUCAAGGAGUUCGUCCAGAAUAGACCUAUGUCCUAUGAAGGUUUUAUUUUUCCUGCCCAUCGACUGGUGGUCGGGUGACCGCCAGGGUGUAUCCGUUUAGUCCGGGCCGCACACUGCUUAAAGGCAGCGGGCUCCAAUUGGGUUUUCUGGGCCCUCCAUGUGCUUUCCAUCGCACAAUACUUUUGUACUACAUAUGAUAGUUCCCUGAAGCUCUGUAUGUAAUGACGGUCGAGGGCAUUCAAUAUUCCCUCAUCGGUGCAAUUACGAUGAAAGGAAGAGGCACCACCUUUCCUUCUCCUACUGCCUCUCCUUCCCCCUUUCCCCCUCCGAUAAAACGAGGGGGGGCGAAUCCUACUAGGAGCCCAAGUGGGACUCCUCCCACUUGGGGCGCGCCUAGGGCCGGCCUCCUCUCCCUCCCUCCUUUAUAUUAGGCGGGGUGCCCCUAGAAGACACAGCAAUUGCUCCAAGCCGUGUGCGGCUCCCCCCUCCACAGUUUACGCCUCCGGUCAUAUUCUCGCAAUGCUUAGGUGAAGCCCUGCACGGAUCACAUCACCAUCACCGUCACCACGCCGUCGUGCUGACGAAAAUCAUCUACUCCUUCGACCCUCUGCUGGAUCAAGAGCUCGAGGGACGUCAUCGCGCUGAAUGUCUGCAGAACUCGGAGGUGUCGUAUGUUCUGUACUCAUCGGUCGGAACGUGAAGACGUUCGACUACAUCAACCACGUUAAGCAAAAGCCUCUGCUUUCGGUCUACGAGGGUACAUGGACACACUCUCCCCCUCCCGUUGCUAUGUAUCUGCAAGAUAGAUCUUGCGUGAGCGUAGGAAUUUUUUUGAAAUUGCAUGCUACGUUUCCCAACAGUGGCAUCCGAGCCAGGUCUAUGCGUAGAUGAUAUGCACGAGUAGAACACAAAGAGAUGUGGGCGGUGAUCGUCAUACUGCUUACACCAAUGUCUUAUUUUGAUUUGGCGGUAUUGUUGGAUGAAGCGGCCCGGACCAACCUUACAUGACCACGUGCACGAGACACGGUUCCACCGACAGACAUGCAACUAGUUUUGCAUAAAGGUGGAUGACGGCUGUCUUUUCUCCAACUUUAGCUGAAUCGAAUUUGACUGCGGACGGUCCUUGUGAAGGUUAAAACAGCAAACUUGAUAAAAUCACCGUUGUGGUUUUUGUGCCGUAGGUAAGUAUGGUUCUUGCUAGAAGCCCGUAGCAGCCACGUAAAACAUGCAACAACAAAGUAGAGGACGUCUAACUUAUUUUUGCAUGGCAUGUUGUGAUGUGAUAUGGUCAAGACAUGAUGUGAUAUACGUUGUUGUAUGAGAUGAUCAUGUUUUGUAGAAGUUAUUGUCAACUGGCAGGAGCCUUAUGGUUGUCGCUUUAUUGUAUGAAACACAAACGCCAUGUAAUUGCUUUACUUUAUCACUAAGCGGUAGCGAUAGUCAUAGAAGCAAUAGUUGGCAAGAUGACCACGACGCAACGAUGGAGAUCAAGGUGUCAAGCUGGUGACGAGGGAGAUCAUUACGUUGCUUUGGUGAUGGAGAUCAAAAGCACAAGAUGAUGAUAGCCAUAUUAUGUCACAUAUUUUUGAUUGCAUGUGAUGUUUAUCUUUUUGCAUCUUAUUUUUCUUAGUACGGCGGUAGCAUUAUAAGAUGAUCUCUUAACUAAAUUUCAAGGUAUAAGUGUUCUCCCUGAGUAUGCACCAUUGCGAAAGUUCUUUGUGCUGAGACACCAAGCGAUGAUCGGGAGUGAUAAGCUCUACAUUUAAAUACAAUGGGUGCAAGCCAGUUUUGCACAUACGGAAUACUCGGGUUAAACUUGACGAGCCUAGCAUGUACAGACAUGGCCUCGGAACACUAGUGACUGAAAGGUCAAACAUGCAUCAUAUAGUGGAUAUAAUCAACAUAGAGACGUUCACCAUUGAUGACUACUCCAUCUCACGUGAUGAUUGGACAAGGUUUAGUUGAUUUGGAUCACGUAUCAUUUAGAUGACUUGAGGGAUGUCUAUCUAAGUGGGAGUUCUUAAGUAAUAUAAUUAAUUGAAUUUAAUUUCUCAUGGUAUCAGCCUAACCGAUCCAACACUAGCCGUCACCCGUCCCUUCCGCUCCGUGCCGCCCCCGGUGGUCGGUCUUCAUGAUCGCCGCCGGGGGCCACUGCCCAUACCUAGGGUUCGUCCGCCGGUCAUGUUGACCGGUUACCCUAAAGAGUCUUUUUCCAGAGCCCUUGCUCAGGGUUUUUCUCUCUCCCGCCGAUCAUCUUGAUCGGCGUUUUAUUUUUUGGUUUUUUGAUCUAAGAUCAGUUUGCGUCUCCCGCCGCCGUCGACCACCGUGUGCCUCUACUCCAACACCUGCACGACCGGCCGGCUCCUACACCGACCCGGCGGCCUCGCGUGACAGGCGGCCCUUCACGGCCAUGGUCCACGCAUCUACCCGCCCGUCGCCCUGCGCCGGCCGUCGCGGCCCAGCUCCGACCGGGACCUCUCCAUCGCCACCCGCCUUCGCCGCGUCUACACGGCAGCCCUGUGGUCUGCCUCGCUGGCCUCGUCCCCGGCUGCGUCAACGACCCACCGUGUUUUUUACUCCUGUAUAUAUGUUUGAAAAGUAAUUAAAUCCACCAUGUUUGUAUGAAAGUUGUCUUGUUUGUAUGAAAUCUGACCGUGUUUGCAUGAAUUUCAUCUGUUUUGUUGAAUUUUUUUUUGAAAUGUAUGUGGCUAACUUUGGAUGGCAUCCUGCUGCAUCCGUGUCCACGGACUGGUCCCCCUCCCCUCGUCUGCGGACGGAUGUGGGGGAAAAUUUACGAGUUGCCAUUGGAGAUGCCCUAAGUAGGUGGACCGUCGUUGGGAAAUACACUUCAGAACCUGGUUGUAUAUACACCCCAUAUAUAGAAUUUUUUGAAUAAUUAAACAAAAAGUGAAAAUAGUUUAGAAGUUUUUUUAGAAUAAACUUGACUUUCCUUCGCACAAGUAUAUAAAUUUUCAGAAAAAAACCAACAUUGACUUCAGGGCAAAAGAGAUAAAAUUUAUUUGCUAUUAUAGGUGACUAUUCACACUAAUAUCACCGGAGUACUAUUUUAGCUAAAAAAUAUCUUUUUUGAAAAGAAGUCAAAGGGAGAUUUUCUUUUUAUGGAAUUUUUCUCACAAGUACAAUGAAAGCUCAAGUUUAUUUAAAAAUAUAUUUUCAAAUUCUGUUGACUUUUUAUUGAAUUACUAAUUUUCUUUCAUAUAGGGUUUAGAUACACCUAGAAACCAAACCUCCGCGUCCGAUCGUCGUUGUCAAACGCAAAAUGGGACGGAUAUUAACAUGAUAUGAAGUAAAUUAUGUGUACGAUCGAUCUAUCCACCUACCAUGCAUGCAUUGAGAAAAGCAAUGCUAGGAUCUAUGACUAAUGAAGUGUACAUAUUAAUUUCCACCGGCAAAUGUACUGAUCAGGCGGUGCAGAGUGAUUAAUGCCAGCAACGUGGGUGCUUUAUUUCUUUGACUCCAACUAAGUGGAGUGUAUAUCAAGCAUCUCCUACGAAGAAUAUCAUAUGAAAACAAACAUAUCAUGAAAACUUCAUGGAAACCAUCAUUAAUAGUUUUGAAAAAAAGGGAUGCUAAGAGGGUGAUGUUUUAUUGCUAUGCGAAAUUCCAAGUUGCAAAACAUUAUGGAAUGGGAGCUACGAAAAAACAAAUUUAGUAGUGAAUAGUAACGUUACUGUUCGGCACUAUUCAAUGGUGAUUUUGUUAUAUUUAUAGCUUACAUCCAGUAAUGUGUUUGAACUUUGAAUAAAAUAUUGUUUCAACUGUUUUGAUUGUGAACAAGUAAAUAAUAGUACGUUUACAUUUGGCUUAUAACAUAACUUGAGUGAAUUAAACUUUUUACCCGUUACUUUGGCAUUUUUGACACUAAUUAGCCGUUCACAACUUUUCAUCCAAGCUAGAUGACCCGUCACGUCCUUGCGCAGAGACCAAAUGCAACCAAAAAGUUAGGUGAACUAUUAGAUUUUUUUUCUGUACAUGCAAAAUACGAUGACCUGUUGUGUCCUUGGUGCACAAACCAAGUGCAAUUGAAAGUUAGGCGAACUAUUUAUUAUUAUUUUUGGCUGCCCAUAAGAAGGAUUGAAUUGAAUGUAUGAUGAAAUUUUAACCGUCCUGCUCAGUUUUUCAAGAAGAUGCAUAGAGUACACUCAACUGGGCUUGAUAGAUAGUCAGGUUUGAGACUAGCCGGUACCAAGUCCGUUGCCCUCUCAAACUUAAAGCCGCCCUUGGCCUUGAGGAUGAAUAACAGCCGAGCUAGCCAUUCCCAAGGAGUUAGCGCUGGGAGGGCGCAACGCCGCAUGGAGUUCCACGCGAAUCUUGUGGAAAAUUAGUUCAAAUGUGAUAUAAAGUCUGCAAGACGAAGUGAUAAAUAGCGAAGGAUUUGUUUUAGAGAACUAAGUUCUUGGGAUGGGUUAGAUGUCAAACUCCCAAUACCUAUGAUUUUUUGGGAAUUAAGUUUGGGAUCUGUUAGAUGCCAAUCUCCCAAUGCCUAUGAAUUUGGGAAUUAAUUUUGGGAUGGGUUUUUAGCCACUAACUUUUGAGGAUGAAUCACAGUUGCCAGAUGCCCAACAUUCGUUCCUGGUGGGGGUGCUGCGAUGGCACCCCAUAGGUCAUCUUCUGCUUUUGUGCCUUAGGUGCACUUGAUCUUGAUGAUUUUAAAACUAUAGUUGACAAAAUUGAAUAGCAAAAACAUAUAAAUUAUUAAGACUUAUGGUAGACCUGCACAUGGGCGAUAGAACAAAUGCACCAAGACAACGGAAUAAAACUCACGGGGUUGCUUUGGUUGCACCACCGGACACUAUUCACGUCUAGAUUUAUCUUUUCAUUUGUAUUUAGAUAGAAUUCGGAUUUGGGACAUUUAGAGAUUGUGGAUAUGUGAACAUUCACAAUUUUUCAGAUUUUUAUAAACUUCCGAGUUUAUUAUGUAGUGGGAUCAUGGUAUCACUAAUAGUGUGGUAUCACAUGAUGCUUUCCCCAGAGUGCAGGACGAUAGACCACAUACAUUCUCCUUUGCACAUUUUCACCCCAUAAUAAGCAUAUGUAUUGAGAAGUAGUAACAUUCCAAUGGUUACCAUCACAACCCAGAACAAGUCUCGUUUCUCUCAAUUUUCCUUUCCAUAUCCGCUCUUGGGAGCUUAAUCAUAGAAUAUUUUUUUGGACACCACAUCUUCAUUUGGUCUCGUAUAAGAAUCAUAUGUAAGUCGUUAGUUAUGUUGCCUUCGCCGGUCAGAAAAUCAUCACUGGAUUCAGCAAGUUGAUACCGUCAAGUUUUUUUCCCUUGCAUUUAGUUACAAAAUUACAAAUGUGCCGCGUUGGUAUUGAAGACAUUAAUAACACUUGCUAAAAUUUCCAGCAGCAACAUGCGGGCAAGAAACUAGUUUAUAAUCAUUUUUAUAACAGCGAAUGUCAUAAAAACUUAAGCUCAUCACAUUAUUUUAUUGAUGAUUCGAUCAGUAAUCUGCUCGAUCUGUAACAAGGACAACAGAUGGAGGUGGAACACAUGCAGAAAACAACAAUGAACAGACGCAGAGAGCAGCAAUAGUAGACACCGAGUCGGCCCUAGUGUCUACCUUAGGCUAGCAGGCGACUUCAUUUUCUAUCUUAGAGGUUGGGGUGAUGCAAAUUCAUCAGAAAAAAAACUACUCAUUACCGGGGUUAAAGAGAUGGCAGGCGGCGGUUGAGCGAGGCCGGGGCGCGAGUCUGUCAUGGGAGCGCCAGCGUUUACAGGCAGCGGAGGCAAUCCGUUAGGCCUAGACUGGAUCAGCAGGGUGAGAGAAGAAUAAGAAAAAAUGUAUCGUUUGGAGGUUGAAUAUGAGCAGUGCUCAUUAAAAUUUGAUCCAACGGUUGAGAUAAGUGGAGGGAGAAUCGAUCGACCGUUUCGUUAUUUUGAGGCGACUGGCGCCAAACCAUUUCCUUAUUUUAUCCUAAAUGAUAAGUGCCAUACGUAUGUCACAAAGUAACACCGUUUUGACGUUUUUACAACUAAAAUUGCCAUAUAAAACGAAACCAAAAAACAAAAUAAAACUUGCCAUUCAAACAAAAAGUUUUCGUGCUUCACAACUGAAAUUGCUACCCCGGGUAACGAAAGUUGCCAUGUGCGGCAAUUGCCAGAAUCCUUUUAUCCUAAAUGAUAAGGGAUAGGUGCGACACGUGUGAACAAAAGCUUCUGCGUGCAAAUAAUUUCAAUGCGAUUUUGUUUGUGUGAACGUGUAGACCAGUAUCGAGCUAGUGAGCCACGUGUACCGGGAUAGCAAUUUCACUAAAAAAAGUGCCGUGUGCAGAUCUGGAAGAAGGACCAGUGUAGGUAACCGUCGUUGUCAAACAGAAAAAAGGGACGGACAUGAACAUGACACGAAGUAAAUUAUGUGUACGAUCGAUCUAUCCAUCUACCAUGCCAUGCAUCGUUGAAGGAAAAGUUUUUUUUUCUUGCGGGGGAAAGGAAAAGUUAGGAUCUAUGACUAGUGAAGUAGUAUUAAUUUCCACCGAUUUCACAGAAAAGAGUAGUAUUAAUUUCCAACGGCAUAUGCAUUGAUCAGGCGGUGCAGAGUGAUCAAUGCCAUAAACAUGCGGUUCUCUCUUAACUCCAACCCAGUGGAGUAUACUUCACGCAUAUACUCCUACUGUAGUGACUUCAUACGGAGUAUAUCAUGAAGAUUUGUAUGUAGUAUGUAUAUGAUUCAAAUAUUCUUCUUUUAGUUAUAGUAAUAUGUUCCCUACACAUCACAAACAAGUAACUCUUUUUAAUGUCUUGAGUCAAACUUUAAAAACCUCAAUGGAGUAUUUGUAAAUCAUAUGUUUAGAUUAGAGUCUCGAAAGGCAUAUUCAUGACAUUAUAAUACGAGUGAAUUCCAGUUUUUACUCCUUACUUUAACAUUUUUUACAUCAGUUAGCCCACAACAACUUCUCAUCCGGAUUGCCCCAUUUAAGAAAAAAUUUACCGGCUUUUUACUCCUAAUAUUUUUAGAGUAAUCUACCAGGUUGGAACCGUCUAUCGGUUAUAUGUGUCAUGCCACGUCGUGUUUAUUCUCCUAACAGUUAUCCUACUCCCGAACCCAGUUUGCCUCCUUUUGCCGGACCAACGUGGUGUUUAGUGACCCAUGUUGUAAACCUAUUUUUUAGAUACGCAUAAGCAUAUGUAUCAUAUAUUCAUAGAAGAAAGGGUAAGACACCCGUCCAUGGAGCUACAACGGGGCACUUAGGCCAGGUUACAUGGAUUACUCGCUAAAGACCUGCCUAAACAACCUCUGAUGAAAUAAGGACAUGUCUCCAUGAAACAACCUUGCUGUAGCCCAAGUCUGCCCCGCCUCAUAGAUCCUGCCGAGCACCACCGUGAUGGAAGGAGAACCAUUUGUCAAAAGACUAUUGCGUUGCGGUGCUUCUAGAUUUCUCAACACACGAGAAGAGUGAGAGUAUGCAGGUCCUUCCUCAUCGGAGGUGGUGUUUGCAACAAAGCUGUCCACGGCAAGAGACGGUCCAUUCCUUUUGUACAUGGUGCCCAAGCCUUGAUACCCCACGAUGCAAACACCGAAUGUCAGACGACACUUGCGAAAACGCAGGCAACAAACAGAUGAUCAAUGGUUUCCAGCAGUUGAGCGCAUAGCCGGCAAACAUCCUGAUGUGGCAAUCCGCGCCUCGCCAGCCGAUCAGAGGUACAACACCUAUUCUUGAAAGCGACCUACCUGAACAGCUUGCAACAUAGCGGAGCCGGGCAGUCCCAAACCGUCCUUGCUGCAAGGUCAUGUUCCCGAACGUAAAAACAACUCGCGUAAGCUGACCUGGUUGAAUACUAUCCAGAAGCCUCCCAUGCCCAGUGCACCAAGUCGUCCACACUGUGUCUAAGUUCCACGCCCGACACCAGGUGCCACAGCUGCAAGUAAUCCCCAAUCUCCUCAGCACUGAGAUCCGACCCAAUACCUCUCGGCCAAAGUCCAGCUAGGGCCUCAUCCACUGUCCUGGAGCUCCUAACUCUAGGACGCAUGCGCUCAUAAAUUCUUGGGGCGAUUUCCUGAACUCUCUUCCCAGAAGUAUGUGCUUCUUCCAUUCCCUACAUCAACGAAAACUGUCGCUCGAUAAACUGCCAAGGAUUAUGCCGAAAUACUAAUGUCAAACUCCGCCUGCAGCCUCUCUCCAACAACCCUCCGCAGCCACAACCAUCUCACCCUAAAUGUUGUAUUCAUCCAAUGCAAGUCAAGUAACCCUAGGCCACCAGCCCACUUAGGUGUGCAAACGAUGUUCCAGGCAACCGUGCACUACCCACCAUUCACCGCCGAGCUCCCCGCCCAGAAGAAGCCUCUAAAGAUUUUAUUUAUGGUGGCAAGCAUCUCCGCCUUAUUGAUCGAAACUUUGGAGUCAGCAUGUAUUAUAUCUCAAUUCAUGCCAUCCUCAUAUAAAUGCAUAGUUAAAACAAUAUUAGUAAACCAAAAGCAUUGCAUAAUUACUCAAAUGAGUUCUUAAAUUGGUGUUGCAAACUAAAUGUCACCAAACAAUUGGCCUAGUAUUUUUCCUAGGCCCUCCAUGCCAUAAUAAACCCCUUUGAUUAAUUUCAAUUAUUUAGAAUAAUUUUGAUAUUUGAAUGAAGUGAUAAUUGUUCAAAUUCAAAUAUUUAUAGAAUUAUAAAUUAUAUUGUUGGUGAUAAGUUCCUUGAUGAGAUUUCAUGAAAAUCAAUAUUUGAGGCUUAUAUGGUAGUGAGUAGUUCUAGUAAAAUUUUCAUCAAUUUUGAGGUCAUCUCACCUACUUACAUUUUAAAUCAAAAUUUGGGGCAGAACUUAGGUUGAAUAUAAAUGACUGUCAAGUACCCAUUGAAUUUUUUUUGGAAACGGAAAUAACAUAUAUGAAACCUAUGAGUUUUUCUUGGAUUUUUAAGCCUUGAAAAUAAUGUAUUUAACUAUUUAGAAAAGUUGAGGAAUAAUAAGAAAAUGGGAAAGAUUAAUACUUAUCCGAAACCCGACUAGCUCUAAUCAGGCCAACUCAAUCGGCUUUUCUCCUCUUAAACGGUACCUAGGAAAAUAAACAAGGCGACAAUGACAAGAGUUUGAGAUGCAACUGAGAUCUCACAGGUUCCCUCACCUCUAGCCGUGCGCUCUGGUUCUCCUUGGAAUGUUCGGAAAUUUACGAUGGUAUAAAAUUUAUAGUCCGUGUCGGCGAUAUUCACCCAGAGGGUGCAAUACCGUUGAGAAUAAAAGCGCUCUGGUUCUUCCUAUGAUGCAUCAGUGCCUUACUGAGCAUCGCCAUAGAAUGGUAGAUGUUGUGUCUCCGCCGGUUUGAUCUUAUGGGUUUUGGGUUUAUGUUCUUGCAGAUGCAUUCAUGAGGAUUUGAUGAGCUUGUAUUAUGGUAUCUUCUGCUUUUAUUGGUAUGAUCUUUUGUGCCUUCUUGGAGUGCUUCUUAGGCUUUUUCAUGAAGAUUUUGUGUUCGACAACCUCUAAUCUCGUGGAUCAUCCUUGGCCAAGUACAUUCAAUGCUCACGAAUUUCCACCUCUUUGGAUGGGAAACUAAAGGGGCUUUUGAAAAUCGAAGUUAGUCGAUUUUGUGCAGGUAUAUGGGCAAUGGUGUCGCUGCUCUGGUCUGGUUGUUAGAGCAAGUCUAGCAGACCCUGCAUCCGGCGCAAACCCGCAUAAUUCCGGCGAUUAUACGGGCUCGGCCCAUUUUUCUGGCCAGACCAGAGCCGCAUCGGUGUCCGGCCCGUAAAUUUUUUUGCCGCAGCCCGCAAACGCAAACCCCGAGCCACUAUAACUGCGGGUUUGCGGGGCAGAUGCAGUUCGAAACCCUAUCCUCCCGCCGCCGCGUUCCCCUCCAAUUCCCCACCGCGCCGCUCGAUUUCUCGCCGCCGGCGAGCCUUGAACCACCAUGGCCGACUCGGGGGAUGAGGCGGAGCGCCGCUGCCGCGCCAGAUUUGACGCCGCGCGCAAGCGGGGGGCGCGUCGGUGGCUCAACCAGGGUGCCCGGCCACCGCCGGCAUUCGACCGGCGCGAGCUCGACGAGUUCGAGCUCGAGGGCGCCCGUCGCCGCCGCGCCUCCUCCGGUAACUGGUCCGCGGGGAGCUCAUCCGGCCACUGGUCCGCGGGGAGCUCAUCCGUGGGCGCAUCGAGCUCGCGGCUCGUUCUGGUGAAAGAGGGAGCCGGAGGAGGCCGUGCCCGAUGCGCCGCCGCGCCGAGGCGUCAUCGGACCCGAGGACUACCUCCCAUCGGGGCAGGAAGAGCUCCUCGAGCGCGUCGUCCUCGAGCAGUCGACGAGGGAGCUGCAGGAGAUGGAAGAGCGCAUCUGGCGCGAGCUCGAGUACGAGCGGUUCUUCCUCGAUUUGGGCCUCGCGGCAUCGCAGGCGCACGCAUCGAAGGAGGCCGACCUGCGCGUGAUGAAGGAGGAGCAGGCGAAGCUCUUCGUCGACCUCGGCUCCGAUUCCUCCGACUCCGGCUGAUCGCCGCCGGUGGGCAGCUACCGCAGGAGCUCUGGUGAGCUCAAUUUUGUUGCAGUGAUGCAGUAGCGUAGGCCCUGUCUAGCAUAUAUAACCUCUACGUAUGUAUGUGGCGUGUAUGAACUUAUUAUGCGAAGAAGAACCAUGUAUGCGAGCGAGCUCCGGCGAGCUGUUGCUUAAAAUUUCUCGCGCGAAACAACUUUUUUUAAAAUUUAGGUGUUUGUUUGCGAUUUCUAGUCUGCCGCCGCAAAUUUCGGCCUGCAUAACCGUCCCCGUGCGACCUGCAAACCCCUUUUACGGGUCGGCAAAAUGCGGGGUCUCCUAGAGUUGCUCUUAUAUCGUUGUAGGAGCUUUUGAUAGUAUCCCAUGUUGCAAAGAUUGUUGUUACUUUGGAGGGGAUGAACACCACAUCUUCAUUUGAUCACGUAUAAGAAUUAUAUGCAAGUUAAUUAUGUUGCCUUUGCCGGUGGUCAGAAAAUCAUCACUUGAUUCGGUAAUUAAGUUGACAUCGGCAAGUUUUUUUCCUUGGAUUUAGUUACAGAAUUACGAAUGUGCCGUGUUGGUACAAACAAAGACGUUAAUAACACUUGCUAAAAUUUCCAGCAUCAACAUGCGGGCAUGAUACUAGUUUAUAAUCAUUAUUGAUAACAGUGAGUGUCAUAAAAACUUAAGCUCAACACAUUAUUUUAUUGAUGAUUCGAUCAGUAAUCUGCUCGAUCUGUAACAAGGGCAAAAGAUGGAGGUCGAACACAUGCGGAAAGCAGCAACGAACAUAUGCAGAAGUAGCAACAGUAGACACACCGCGUCGGCUAGCUAUCCAUGUAGAGCCUGGUGUGAUGAUGCUGACCGAUAACUUAGUGAAUGCUGCAAACACACACAGACAAAAGCUCAACGAUUAGCCUCAGUACUUACUUACUAAUUAACGAUUAAAUGGCUAAUGAGUACUCCCUCUAUACGGAGCGUAGUGAUCUAAACGCUCAUACAUUUCGUUAUGCAGGGAGUAGAACAUAUUCUUUCAAGUUAGGAGUGGAGGAUGUAC
rnacentral:lncRNA from 1 species